UUUACUAUGCCCCUAAUUUUACUUUCUCUUCCAAAUUUGAGCUUUGGGAUCCCAACACUGAUUGUUGCUCCUGGAAAGGAGUCACUUGUGAUGCUUAUGGUCAUGUCGUUGGCAUUGAUCUUAGUUACAAAAACCUUUCAGGCAGCUUUCACCCCAUAUUCAAUCUCCAUCGUCUUCAACGCCUUAAUCUUGCUGGAAACAACUUUAAUACCACUCUGUUUUCCUAUGGGUUUGAUAAACUCCAAAAUCUAACUCAUCUCAACCUUUCAAGCUCAUGUUUCCAUGGCCAAAUUCCAAUGAAGAUCUCACAACUGACAAGGUUAGUCUCUCUGAACCUAUCUUUUCAAGAUGAUUGCUAUUGGAGAAAUGGUUACGAUUAUAAUUCAGCUACUUUAAAAUUGGAGAAACCAAACUUCAAGACAUUUAUCAAGAAUUUGAAGUUUCUCAUGGAGCUUUAUUUGGAUGGUGUCGACAUUUCAACUUAAAGUACUAAAUGGUGUGAAACCACAUCUCUUGUACUUCCAAACCUGCAUGUGUUGAGUCUGUCAAGCUGUGGUUUGAAAGGUCCAUUAUGUUCCUCACUCUCAAGACUCUCUUUUCUUUCCAAACUUAUCCUUGAUGGGAACACAAUCUCUUAUUUACCUCCCAAUUUCCAGCAAGCAAUGCUUUACAUAGUUUGUCUCUUUCUUAUACAAAUUUCAGUGGAAAACUACCUGAAUCGAUUGGUAAUCUUAAGUUCCUGACAAAUUUUGAGCUUUAUGAUUGCAAUUUUUUUGGACCCAUUCCAUCGUCAAUUGCAAAUCUUAGUCACCUGGUGAACUUGGAUCUAAGUUCAAACAAGCUUUCUGGAUCAAUACAUUCUUCUUUAUUUACUCUUCCAUCGUUGAAGAUCUUGUAUCUUGAAGAGAAUCAAUUGGUUGGGAAAAUUGAUGAGUUCCCCAAUGCAUCUUCUUCUUUGAUUCAAGUAUUAUAUAUAGGCAAGAAUUAUUUAACAGGACCAAUCCCGAAGUCAAUCCUUCAACUUCCAAGGCUUGAAGGGCUUUAUAUCGGAGACAAUAGCUUCAGUUCCAUGAAGCUUGACAUGUUUGUCCAACUCAAGAACUUAAAGGGUCUCGACUUAUCCAACGUAAGCUUGUUAAUUGACAGCGACAACAGAAGUCUUACUUUUCCCCAAUUACAGAGCCUAGGGCUAAGCUCAUGCAACCUUACUGAAUUUCCAGAAUUCAUUAAAAGGCAAGACAAGUUGGUUGACUUAGAUCUUUCUAACAAUCAUAUCCAUGGUGUUGUGCCUAAUUGGUUGUGGAAGAGCAGCCUUUCAAGGGUAAACCUUUCUUUCAAUGUGAUUGAUUUUCCAAAACAGCUUCCCUUAAGUGAUGCAAACUUCUCUUUCCCAAUGUUGAUGGAAUUUUAUCUGGAAUCUUGUAACAUAAGCUCAUUUCCAGAGUUCUUAAAGAGUCAAAAAAAUUUAGAAGAAUUCGACGCAUCUUCUAACAAUUUGAGUGGCCCAAUUCCAAAUUGGUUAUGUAAUAUGAGUCAACUUUACAGUUUCGAUGCAUCUUAUAAUAAUUUGAGUGGCUCAAUUCCAAAUUGCUUGGACAAUAUGAGUCAACUUGUCAGUUUCGAUGUAUCUUAUAACAAUUUGAGUGGCCCAAUUCCCAAUUGCUUCGGCAAAAUGAAUGCUCUCUUUUUCUUGAAUCUGCAAGGAAAUAACUUCAGUGGAAUGUUACCAAAAUUUUCAAAAGCAACCCAACUAAACUUUCUCAAAGUUAGUGAGAAUAGAUUGGAAGGGAAGUUGCCCAGAUCACUAGCGGAAUGCACUCAGCUUGUAGUUUUGGACGUGGGAAAAAACAUGAUGAAUGAUACUUUCCCUUUUUGGUUGGGGAAAUUGCCUGCGCUAGAGGUUCUCAUUUUGCGGGAAAACAAAUUUUAUGGUCAAAUUAAACAUUUCAAACAUAAAUUUGUUUUCCCAACUUUGGAUGUGUUGGACAUUGCUUCAAAUCAGUUUUCUGGUGAACUAUCUAUUGAUUUCCUUCGAGCCACUCGACUAAGGUCACUCAAAACAGGUGGGAAUAAAUUGAAAGGGAAGCUGUCGAGAUCAUUAGCCAAUUGCACAGCACUUGAGGUUCUGGACCUUGGAAAUAAUAUGGUUCAUGAUACAUUCCCAUUUUGGUUAGAGAAGCUGCCUUCCUUGAAGGUUCUUGUUUUGCGAGCAAACAGAUUCUACGGCACAAUUACAAAAUUUGACACGAAACAUGGGUUUCCAAAGCUACGCAUAUUGGACAUUGCUUCCAACAAAUUUUCAGGUGACUUGUCCAUUGAAUUUUUGCAAAGUUUGAAGGCAAUGGCGAAGAUGACUAAUGACGAAAAGGCUAAGCUGGAUUAUAUCGGAGAGAAUUAUUAUCAAGACUCUGUGACAAUUGUUAACAAAGGGAUUGAAAUGUUGUACCAAAAAGUCUUGACAAUUCUUACUUGUCUUGACCUUUCCAACAAUAGUUUCCAUGGGAGAAUACCAGAAGAGAUACAAAUGCUGAGGUCACUCAGAGUGAUGAACUUAUCCAACAAUGGCUUUUCUGAUGAAAUCCCAUUAGCAUUUGAAAAUCUAAAAGAUAUUGAAUCUUUGGAUCUCUCACAGAAUGAGCUUUCAGGGAAGAUUCCUGCACAACUUACAAGUUUAACUUUCUUAGCGGCAUUGAACUUGUCUUACAACCAACUCGAAGGGAGCAUACCAUAAAGCAACCAAUUCAUUACAUUUACAAAUGAUUCCUACCGUGGGAACCCAAAAUUGUGUGGGCUGCCAUUGUCAAGGAAAUGCAAUGAAGUCGGUCUUCCAGUGGCACCACCUCCACGGGGAGAUGAAGAAUCAUGGUUAUAUGCUAUGUCUACUUGGAAAAUUGCGUUGAUAGGUUAUGCUAGUGGAUUAGUCGUUGGGCUAUGUAUCGGAUAUACAGUGCUGAAUGAGUUGGGAAACAAAUGGGUUGACAAGUUCAAAAAGUGUGGGAAAAGAAAUAGAAGAAGAUGUAGGUGACUCCAUCAGAAUUCUUGCUUCAAAAUUAGGUGCUAAGCAUUUGUCUUCCUAAUUUGAAUAGAUAGUUGUUGAUAUAUAUAUAUAUAUAUAUAGGUUUUCAUAACCUCAUUUUUUGCUGUCUUUACCAAGUUCACUAUCAUAUCGUGUAGUCUUCCAUGAGUACAAAUAAGUGUUCAUUCAUUUUGGAUCCAGGUCCAUGUGGAUUUGGGGGAUGCAAUGUUUCACUGCUACUGAAUUUCCAUGCUAAUAAUGAUAUUAUAAACAAGGAAAUGGCUGGCCAAGCUUUCUUUUAUAUGCAAUUUACUUUUUCUUCAAUUUUUUUAUCUUCAGAAUAUUUGUACAGCUGAGGAGAUUUGAUGGCAUGAUGUUGAUGAAAGCCAUAUCUGAUGGAUAUUGGACUGAUUGUGUAAAGAGACGCAGAUGCUACUACUCCCAUCCUUAGCUCUUCCAAACAGACAUCAGGUUUAUAUUUUAUGAAUCACGUGUUGGGCUUUAGGACCGGGUGUAAAGGGUGGACCUGUUGGUCCGGGUUUUAGUUCAGUCGGACACUUAUUUUUAUACUAGUUUAUUUAUCCUUUCAAUGAUAGUUUUAUUAAUUUCAAAAAACUUUUGAAAUUGAAAUUAAUUUUUUCAAAGAAUAGAAAAAUUGUUAAUAAUAUAAGACAUCUCGUCAGUCUCAUUUGUCUUUGAUAAUUUCAAUUAAAUCUAAAGAAAUUUUAAUGUGAAAAUAUGUUUCUUUCAAAGAAAUUACCAAGAAGAGAAAAACUGUAAACAUUGUAUCAUCAAAAUUUCCACUACUGAUGCCCAUCAAUCCAUCUCAACUACCUAAGAAACUUGCUAAACAUUGUUUUCAUGGGGUAAAAAAAGAUUUAGACAUUUGCAUGCAGUGCCAAAAGGCUAAGAAUAAGUCCAAUAAUAUCUCAUUCCAUAAUUCUCUAUUGAUCCAUACACUUUAAGUUCAUUAAUGAAAAGUCAUCAAAGUAGUGAGAAAAUUUAGUCUUUGAGCCAUCACUCUCUCUCAGUCAGCUAAAAAAUAUCACCACAAUUCCAUUUUUUUUAAUUAAUUGACUAAAAUAAAAUUAGUGGUACAACAUUAUUUUCAUGCAGUAGUGAUCGGGCUUAGUCCAAAAUUAAAAAUAAUGUAUGGAAAGUAUGGAAACAAUCCUCCUUCACAGCCACCAAACAUGAAAGCCAUACCUGAUGGACAUUGUACUGGAAAGAGACACAGCUGCUGCUUCUACUCCCAUCUUUUGCUGGCACAUUGGGUUUUUAUUUUAUCAAACACAUGUUGGGUUUUAGUACAGCCUCGCACUUAUUUUGUACCAAUCUGUUUCGCAGAAAUUGUGUGGUCAUCAUAAUUGUCACUCCAUAUUCCCAUCAAUCCAUCUCAACCAGCUAACACAAAAGCUUUAUUUUUGUGUAUAUAAUGACUUGACUUAAACAAAGUGGUAAACCAUUGUUUUCAUAUAGUAAGGAUCGUACUUGUAGCGUUGACCUUCAUUUUCAGAUUCUAUUGUAAUUUUAUGCUAACAUUUAGGAAUGCAGGACAUGGAAUGUCCAGUCAGGAGGUACGUUAUGUUUGAAGAAAAUGGUAAUAGUUUCUUAUGACUGUGACAUGCCAAUUCUGCCCGGCCCACAAAUUAAACCCAAAUAAAUAAAAAUCUAAUAUAAGUCCAAGUCCAUUACAGAAAAAAAAUCAGACCCAAAUUUACAAGGCCUUAAAGCCAAAAAAUUUUAAAAAAGUCUAUGAUCAUAAAUCUUAACAAAAGAAUGAUUUUACUAUAAAAAAAAUUUCAGGAUUAUAGGACUUUAUCAUCAAUGUAACUAUUUUUAAUGUGGUUAUAGGAGAGGGUGUGGCUGAAUUAUCAUUAGCUAAUCAUGGUCAAGCCAUAGUUGCAGAAAUGGGACCUGAAUAAUGUGCAACCAUGGGUUGUCUUUCCUGUGGAUCAUACAGCCUUGCAAUUCCUUAAUUUAACCAGCAGGAGUGGUGACACAGUUCAUUCUCUGCGUGGUGAUGACUCCAACAAGGUUUUAUGUUAUUAUUGCUACUAUUUUGUCUUUUUAAUAAUUUAGAUAUAAGAAAAUUUUCAUAUAUAUAUAGAAAAAGGAUGAGACAGAAAGACUAAAAUAUUGGCAUCAAUAAGAACACUAAGACCAAUAAAAUCUCAUAUUUCAAAAUUAGAAUUGAAAAAAAAAUAUAUAAAAAAUUGAAGAUGCAAAAGUAAAUUAAGUGUGAAUUGAAAACCUUAAUGCUAAGACUAAGAAUAAAUAAUUCAUCCAUUAAGACUAAUAGCUUCAUCAUCAUUCUUUGCUGUGAUAUGACUCUGGCUUGAAUUUAAAGAAGCAAAUAUGAAGUACUCAUAAUGCGAGAGAAAAUUACUUAGCUAAGAGAAGAAAUCAUUUACUUUAACCAAACUAUCCCCGGUAGAAAUAAAAGCCAAACGAAUUAAAUUCAUUCAAAACAAAAAUUGUAGGGAUUAGUUUUAUAAUUUUACUUAAAUUUUCAUUUCAACAGCAGGACGUGGGUUUGAGUACGUUGAAGUGCAUUAUCCUCCUAUUUAUGGGUUGGAGAGAGACUAUGCGUAAUUUUAGGCAUUGUAUCAAAAUAACAGAUUUAAUCAUAACCUAUAAUGUGAAAAGUUGCUACUAAAAAGUUUAAAAAAUAGAAUUUUUAGUUUCCUUUUGUUUAUUUAUUACUAUUUUUCAUAAUAUCUUUUAUGUAUAUUUAAAGUGUUUUGGGUUUGAUUUUUAAUCAUUAUAAUCAAAAACCCAGUUUUGUACUAAUAAAUCACGCCAUUGUUAAUUUUUAGUGUUAUUUUUGAGGUAUUAUAUAUUUGUAUUUGACCUAUGUUUAUAACGGUGAUCAGACCCGUUUUUGAUAUUUUUGAGACCCUAGGCGAAAUAAUAAAUCAGGGUCUUGUUUAAAAAAUUAUUAAAUGUAAUACAAAAAAAAUAAAAAAAUGAGCCCUUUUUAUUUUAUAUUUUUUCUGCCUGUUAUAAAUCAAAAGACUAAAAAAGUUAAAAAAAAUUUUCACUUUAAAAAUUAAAAAAAAGAAACUUUUUGAGCUCUAGACGGCUACAAUCUGAAACUACCCUAAAGUCGGGCCGACUCCAACAAAUUCUAAUCAAAUCUCAAGCUCCAAAAUUGGAAUUAACAAAUGGAAAAACAAAAAGACAUUGGUAAAGCAAAAUAAGUGUGAAACAUGAAGAAAUUGAUAUGAAGACUAAGAAGAGAGUAUGAAAAAUUUGAAAAUUGUAAAUUAGGAUGACUUUAAAAUAUGGGGAAGAUUCAUGGGUUUGAAAUCAAUGAUUUUGCAGUUAAUUUCUCUUUGUUGAUUUGGUGGAUGUUUCCCACUACUUUUGCUUUUAAUGGUUCCCAUUAUAUACUUGGAAAUUGGAAUUACUUUUGCCACUCAUUUCUCAUGUUUGUUUGGCCAAUAAAAGAUUAUUUGCAUAAAGAUUAUUUUGAAUUUUUUGAAAAUUAUUUUAAAUUAGAUUGUAAUUUGUGUUGAGAGAGAUCAAUUUGUUAAAUUUUAAAAUUAACAGGGACCAAAGGAGCAUGUACACCAAUUUAUUGUUUGAAUUAUUUGAGUUAUUUAAAUUAUAAAAUUCAACUCGAAACUUAAAUUAUAAAUAUUUUUAAUAUUAUAAAACAUAAAAACAUUAAAAUUAAAUAAUAAUAUAGAAAUGGAAUUUUUUUCUCCAAAUUUCUCAUCCAAAUACAGUCUAAGAAAGCUUGAAAGCUGAAAUUUAAAAAUAUUAUUAUCUUAACUCGAUUUAAAAUUUUUUUGAGUCAAGUCGAGUGCAAAGAAAUUAGAGUUGAAUUGAAUCAAGUGAAAUUGUUUGAGUUAAACUAAAAAUUUUAAUAUGUCAAAUUGAAAUAUUUUUAUGGUAUUAAUUUUAUGUUAGAGCCCAUAAAUUUGAAACCAUAUAUAUAUUUGAAAACUUUUGUUGAGAGAGAUCAAUUUGUUAAUUUUUAAAAUUGACAGGGACCAAAGGGGCAUGUACACCAAUUUAUUGUUUGAAGUAUUCGAGUUACUCAAAUUGUAAAAUUCAACUCUAAACUUGAAUUAUAAAAAUAUUUAAUACUAUAAAACAUAAAAAAUACUAAAAUUAAAUAAUACUAUAAAAAUGAAUUUUUUUCUUCAAAUUUCUCAUCCAAAUAUAGUCUAGAAAAGUUUUAAAGAUGAAAUUUAAAUAUGUUUGUUUCAAAAGUGGAAAAUUCUAUAUAUUGUAUCAUCAAAAUUUUCACUUAUUGUGUCCAUCAAUCCAGUUAAGACUUAACUUGUACACAUUUCUUUGAUAAAUUAUAACAUAUUUACAAAUUCGAUACUCAUUAACAAAUUGAUAUUAUAUUUUAAGUUAAAUUAUUUUAAAUUAUUUUGUAAUUUUUGUUGAGAGAGAUCAAUUAAUUUUUAAAAUUAACAGGGACUAAAGGAGAAUGUACAUCAAUUUGUUGUUUGAAUUAUUGGAGUUUUUCAUUAUGAAAUUCAACUCGAAGCUCGAAUUGUAAACAUUUUUAAUAAAUAUAAAACAUAAAAAAUAUUAAAAUUAAAUAAUAAUUAAAUAAUAAUAUAGAAAUGAAAAUAUUUCUCCAAAUUUCUCACCCAUAUACGCUCUAAGGAAGUUUUAAAGCUGAAAUUUAAAUAUGUUUCUUUCAAAAGUGAAAAUUCUCUAUAUUUUAUUAUAAAAAAUUUCACUCAUUGUGUCCAUCAAUCUAUAAUGUGACUUGACUCGUACACAAUGGUUGAACAUUGUUUUUGUGCAAUAAAAACUUAGGCAUUUGCAUGCAAUGCUAAAGACCUAAGAAUUAAAAGUCCUAUAAUAUUUCUAACUAUCAUUUUUUCUGGUUCAAAAUUAAAAGUAUUAAAAAUUUCAAAUUAAAACGUUAUGAAUUUAAUUAGAACAUCAUGAAGUUUAGGGAUCAAUUUAAAAUUCUAUGUAUAAUUUUGAGAUGUAAUGUGAAUUAACCCUUUGAUAAAUCAUAACAUAUUUACAAGUUGGAUACUCAUUAGCAAAUUGAUUUUAUAUUAUAAAUUAAAUUUUAUUUUUUUGGUGAUAUAACAAAAUUUACUUAAAAAAUUAAAUGAUGUAGAAAUAAUUAUAUAUAAAAUAAAAAAUGAUAAAAUAUACCUGAGUUUAAAAUAAUUAAAACUAAAAUAUUUGCAACAUCGAUUUUUAUUCCUAAAAAGUUCAUACCUAAAAUAUAUAAUUUAAACUUAAAAUAUCAGUUGAAUUAUUAUCUUUGUUCAUUCUAUGCGUAAAAAUAGUUUUAAUAGAAUUUAAAGUACAUUAUUAUUGCUAUAAUUUUGUCUUUUUAAUGACUUCGAUUUAGUAAAGAGUGGGCAAGACAACUAAAACCUUGGCAUUAAUAAGAAAAAUGAGAUGAAUAAAAUAUUAAAAUCUCAUUCUUCAAAAUUAAAAUUAACAAAAAAAAGAAAGACUAAGUGUGAAUUUAGCAACUUAAUUCUAAUACUAACAAUAAAUAAUUUAUGCAUCAUGACUAACAGCUUUAAAUAAUAAAUUAUUAUCCCUUGCUUUAAUAUGUUGGAAAAAAUUGACCAAAAAGACUUAACUAAAGUAGUGGAACAUUCUUUUGAUGCAGUAUUGAUUGGGCAAAAAGACUUGGAAAUUGCAUGCUAUGCCAAACAUGAAAACUACACAUUUGUGUAUAAAUAAGUUGUAUGCCAAACAAAAUCCUCCUUCACACCCACCCAACAUGAACACUCUUCAUUCCCUUUUUUCUUCACUCUUUCUCUUCUCAUGCUUCCUUCCUCUUCUCUCGUCUUUUUCACCUCCUCAAACUCAUCUCCCAAUGCAAUGCCUUGAUGACCGGAGAUCUCCUCUGCUGCAAUUGCAACAUCAUCUUUACUAUGCCCCCCAUUUUACUUUCUCUUCAAAAUUUGACCUCUGGGAUGUCAACACUGAUUGUUGUUCUUGGGAAGGAGUCACUUGUGAUGCUUAUGGUCAUGUCGUUGGCAUUGAUCUUAGUUACAAAAACCUUUCAGGCAGCUUCCACUCCAUAUUCGAUCUCCAUCAUCUUCAACACCUUAAUCUUGCUGGAAACAACUUUAAUGCCACUCUGUUUUCCCAUGGGUUUGAUAAACUCCAAAAUCUAACUCAUCUCAACCUUUCACGCUCAUGUUUCCAUGGCCAAAUUCCAAUGAACAUCUCACACCUAAAAAGGUUAGUCUCUCUGAACCUAUCUUAUCAAGAUGAUUGCUAUUGGAGAAAUGGUUACAAUUAUAAUUCAGCUACUUUAAAAUUGGAGAAACCAAACUUCAAGACAUUUAUCAAGAAUUUGAAGUUCCUCACGGAGCUUUAUUUGGAUGGUGUCGACAUUUCAACUCAAGGUACUAAAUGGUGUGAAACCACAUAUCUUGUACUUCCAAACCUGCAUGUGUUGAGUCUGUCAAGCUGUAGUUUGAAAGGUCCAUUAUGUUCUUCACUCUCAAGACUCUCCUUUCUUUCCAAACUUAUCCUUGAUUGGAACCCAAUCUCUUAUUUACCUCCCAAUUUCUUGGAAAUUUCCUCUCGUUUGGUUUCUCUCAGUUUGAGGAACUGCAAUUUGAGUGGCCAUUUUCCAACCGAAAUUCUCUUAUUGCCAAAAAUUCAAAGCAUUGACAUUUCAUUUAAUCCUCAACUUAUGGGUCAGUUGCCAGAAUUUCCAGCAAACAAUGCUUUACAGAGUUUGUCACUUUAUGACACAAAUUUCAGUGGAAAACUACCUGAAUCGAUUGGUAAUCUUAAGUUCCUGACAAAUUUAGAGCUUUCUUAUUGCAAUUUUUUUGGACCCAUUCCAUCGUCAAUUGCAAAUCUUAGUCACCUGGUGAACUUGGAUCUAAGUUCAAACAAGCUUUCUGGAUCAAUACAUUCUUCUUUAUUUACUCUUCCAUCGUUGAGGAUCUUGUAUCUUGGAGAAAAUCAAUUGGUUGGGAAAAUUGAUGAGUUCCCCAAUGUAUCUUCUUCUUUGAUUCAAGAAUUAUAUAUAGGCAAUAAUUAUUUAAAAGGAACAAUCCCAAAGUCAAUCCUUCUACUUCCAAGGCUUGAAUGGCUUUAUAUCGAAAGCAAUAACUUCAGUUCCAUGAAGCUUGACAUGUUUGUCCAACUUAAGAACUUAAAGGGUCUCGAAUUAUCCAACGUAAGCUUGUUAAUUGAAAGCGACAACAGAAGUCUUACUUUUCCCCAAUUAGAGAGCCUAAGGCUAAGGUCAUGCAACCUUACUGAAUUUCCAGAAUUCAUUAAAAGGCAAGACAAGUUGUUUGACUUAGAUCUUUCUAACAAUCAUAUCCAUGGUGUUGUGCCUAAUUGGUUGUGGAAGAGCAGUCUUUCAUCCUUACACCUUUCUUUCAAUGUGAUUGAUUUUCCAAAACAGCUUCCCUUAAAUGAUGCAAACUUCUCAUUUCCAAUGUUGACAGAAUUGUAUUUGAGAUCCUGUAACAUAAGUGCGUUUUUAGAGUUCUUAAAGAGUCAAGAAAAUUUAGAAGAACUCGACCUUUCAAAUAAUAAAAUAAGUGGUGCAAUACCAAACCGGGUGUGGAAGAAAAGUUUGCGGUAUCUGUUUCUUGCUAAUAACCAUCUCUCAUCUUUGGACCAACUUUUACCCAAUCAGAGUUCAACUUCUUCACAAACCUCCUUGACUAGACCUAUUUGCAAUUUGAGUCAACUUAGAAAUUUCAAUGCAUCUCAUAACAAUUUGAGCGGCACGAUUCCAAAUUGGUUAGGCAAAAUGACUGAUCUCUAUUUGUUGGAUCUGCAAGGAAAUAACUUCAGUAGAAUGUUACCAAAAUUUUCAAAAGCAACGUAACUACAAAUUCUCAAAAUUAGUGAGAAUAUAUUGGAAGGGAAGUUUCCCCGAUCAUUAGCUGAAUGCACUCAGCUUGAAGUUUUGGACGUGGGAAACAACAAGAUGAAUGAUACAUUCCCUUUUUGGUUGGAGAAAUUGCCUUACUUGACGGUUCUAAUAUUGCGGGAAAACAGAUUUUAUGGUCAAAUUAAACAUUUCAAACAUAAAUCUGUUUUCCCAACUUUGGAUGUAUUGGACAUUGCUUCAAACCAGGUUUCUGGUGAACUAUCCAUUGAUUUCCUUCAACCCACUCGACUAAGGUCACUCAAAAUAGGUGGGAAUAAAUUGGAAGGGAAGCUGUCGAGAUCAUUAGCGAAUUGCACAGCACUUGAGGUUCUGGACCUUGGAAAUAAUUUUGCACAGAUUCUAUGGCACAAUUUCAAAAAUCGACACGGAACGUGGGUUUCCAAAGCUACGCAUAUUGGACAUUGCUUCCAACAAUUUUUCAGGUGACUUGUCCAUUGAAUUUUUGCAAAGUUUGAAGGCAAUGGCGAAGAUGACUAAUGACGAAAAGGCUAAGCUGGAUUAUAUCGGAGAGAAUUAUUAUCAAGACUCUGUGACAAUUGUUAACAAAGGGAUUGAAAUGUUCUACCAAAAGGUCUUGACAAUUCUUACUUGUCUUGACCUUUCCAGCAAUAGUUUACAUGGGAGAAUACCAGAAGAGAUACAAAUGCUGAGGUCACUCAGAGUGAUGAACUUAUCCAACAAUGGCUUUUCUGGUGAAAUCCCAUUAGCACUUGAAAAUCUAAAAGAUCUUGAAUCUUUGGAUCUCUCACAGAAUGAGCUGUCAGGGAAGAUUCCUGCACAACUUACAAGUUUAACUUUCUUAGCGGCAUUGAACUUAUCAUACAACCAACUUGAAGGGAGCAUACCACAAAGCAACCAAUUCAUUACAUUUACAAAUGAUUCCUACCGUGGGAACCCGAAAUUGUGUGGGUUACCAUUGUCCACUAAAUGCAAUGAGGUUGGUUUUCCAAUGCCACCAGCUCCAGGGGAAGAUGAAGAUUCAUGGUUAUAUGCUCUGUCUACUUGAAAAAUUGCGUUGAUAGGUUAUGCUAGUGGAUUAUUCGUUGGGCUAUGUAUUGGAUAUACAGUGCUGAAUGAGUUGGGAAACAAAUGGGUUUACAAGUUCAGUAAGUGUGGGAAAAGAAAUAGAAGAAGAUGUAGGUGACUCCAUUAGAAUUCUUACUUCAAAAUUAGCUGGUAAGCAUUUGUCUUUCUAAUUUGAACAGGUAGUUGUUGAUAUAUAUAUAUAUAUAGGUUUUCAUAACCUCAUUUUUUUGCUGUCUUUACCAAGUUCACUAUCUUAUGGUACUUGUAAUUUUAUGUUUCCAUUGAGCAAUGCAGGAGGUACUUGAAGCAGGGCAUGGAAUGUACAGUUGUGAGGCUCAUGAAGAAUGUAGGGCAAUGAUCCUAACAAGAUCAAUCCACUGGUUUGUAAUUUUGCUUUAUAUGCACUUUUUUCCUUUUGUAGUUUUCCAUGAGUAUAAAUAAGUGUUUAUUCAUUUUGCAUCCGGGUCCCUGUGGAUUUGGGGGAUGCAAUGUUUCACUGCUACUCAAUUUCCUUGUUUAUAACCAUGCUAAUAAUGAUAUUAUAAACAAGGAAAUGGCUGCCCAAGCUUUGUUUUAUAUGCAAUUUACUUUUACUCUAAUUGUUUUAUCUUCAGAAUAUUUGUACAGCUGAGGAGAUUUGAUGGCAUGAUGUUGAUGAAAGCCUUAUCUAUAGACAUUGGACUGAUUGUGUAAAGAGAAGCAGAUGCUGCUACUCCCAUCCUUUGCUCUUCCAAACAGACAUUAGCUUUAUAAUUGAUCAAUCACGUGCUGGGCUUUAGGAUCGAGUGUAAAGGGUGGACCAAUUAGUCUGGGUUUUAGUUCUGCCCGACACUUAUUUUUAUACUAGUUUAUUUUUCCUUUCAAUGUUAGUUUUAUUAAUUUAAAAAAUAUAGUUGAAUUAAGUAAUAAUAUGAUAAAAUAAUAAAAAUAAUUAAUUGAAUGAAAUAAAUUAUGUCUUAAAAUCUAGUAUGCUUUCCAAUGUUAGCCAAAGGCCAACAAUAUCUCACACUAAUAUUUUAUUUGUUAGUCCAAAAUUAAAAAUUUCAAAUUAGAAUGUUAUUUAUAGUUUAAGGACUUAAUUAAAUUUUUAAAAAAAAUUUAAAGAUCAAUUUAAAAUUUAAUCUAUAAUUUAAGGAAUUAACCCUUUGGUAAAUCCUAACAUAUUCAUAAGUUCCAUACUCAUUAAUAAAUUUGUACUAAAAAUGCUGAUUUGGAUGUAUACAAAAGUCAAUUAUGAUAAAAAUGAAAAUAUAUGAAAGAAAUGAUGGCUUAUAAUGUGGUGUGCUUUAAUUGGAUUUAAAUUUUUCCAAGAGGAAAAUAGUUGAAAAUCAGGAGCAAGAAUCUGAUUUGUUAUUCUUCUAUUAGAAAGGGAUAAAGAUGACAUAAAAUCACAGUUUCAUACAAUCUAUUCUCUUUAUUCAAAUAUUUAUUUGCAAGAAAUAAAAAUUAUAUGUUGUUUAAUCUAAUAGUGUUUUAAUUGGUUUGAUAAACUUUGAAAAAAAAUUUUGAAAUUGAAAUUAAUUUUUUCAAAGAAUUGAAAAAUUCUUAAUUAUAUAAGACAUCUCGUCAGUGUCAUUUGUCUUUGAUAAUUUCAAUUAAAUCUAAAGAAAUUUUAAUGUGGAAAUAUGUUAAGAAAUUGCUAAGAAGAAGAAAACUGUAAACAUUAUAUCAUCAAAAUUUCCAUUACUUGUGCCCAUCAAUCCAUCUCAACUACCUAAAAAACUUGCUAAACAUUGUUUUCAUGGGUAAAAAAGAUUUAGGCAUUUGCAUGCAGUGUUAAAAGGCUAAGACUAAGGGCUCCUUUGGAUGCCAACGCACAACAGUGCCUUGAAUUUUUUCUCCUUUAUUAUCUAUCUCACUGCACUGGACUGAACUCUGGACAGCCUUUGGAUGUGUUGGCUUCCAGCACAGUGAAGAAUUUCUACUACACUGGACAGCCUUAAGUUGACUUUAGCAACUUCUUUUCCUCUUUUACCCAUAUAUUCUUCGGUUGCAUUCUUCAGGUUUUUUUUUAUGUUUGGUUACCCUUCUUCUCCCCUUUCCCCUUCACUUUCCCCUUCCCCUUGGGUUGCAAAUCAGUUUGGUCAAGCACCUCUUCCGAUUCCUCCUUCAUCCAGGUAAGGCUCCUUCUCCUUCUUCCGUUCUUCAUUCCUUUUUCAGAUCGUUGAAAUCAAGGAGAAAUCCGAAGACCUACAUGCUCUAAUAAGGUAUUCCAUUAAAAACUAAUAGCUUUUAUUUAUCAAUUUUUAAAUGUGCAUGCAUAUAAUUAUUUGAAGAAAAAAAUCGUUCGUUGUGGAAAUUCUUAUAUGAGGUUUUUUUUCUUCUACUGAAUUUCUAGGUUUUGUUGGAAUCCUUGAAAAAUAUAUAUUUCGUUGUCAGAUCGUGAUGACAUUGACUAGAUUGGUUGUCUUUGGAUUACAUUAAUGACCUUUCGAUUGCAAAAAGAAGUGUUGGGUCGAUCUUGCUUUUGACCAAUGAUGAGGGUUUAGUGAAUAUCAGAAUUAUGGAAUCAAUUUAUGUUUUUUUUAUAAUUUUAAUUGUUUGCAAUGAUAAUUGUUCAAGUGGAAAAUAGUAUUUAUUUUCAGCUUUGUGGUGGGUGGUUGUACUUAAGAUUGAGAAUGAAAUUAUCGAAUUAUAGUCAAUUGAAAUCCGCUGUGCCUUUUUUUAAUAUCAUGGUAAUCAUUUCAUUUUUUUUUCUGUAUGUGAUAUAAUGUAAGCUUCAACAUUUGUUCAAUCCAAUAGCAGUUUGUUCAAAAUAGGAACAUGAAACAUUCUCUUGUUUUUAGUGACUUCUGGGCCUUCUUCAUUCUUCUUAGUGGUUCCUUGGUUGCUUCAUAUGGUUCUCUCUCCCUGUCUACAUUUGGUUUGACUAUUCAAAACAUUCUAAUGGGAUUUUCAGAAAACUUAAGUGGGUUCUUUUUCUUUUUAUUGCUGCAUAUGGGCCUUUAUAUGAUUUUACUGCUUACACAGAGGUAAAACAGUUUGAGAAUAGAUCAUUUAUCUAUUGACUAUAUCAUGAAUAUGUAGUCUGAAGUUAUUUGAUUCACCGCAAUGUCCAUAAUAAUUGUUGAUGAUGUUGUUGGUUUGCAGUGUAAAGCACAGCCAGAGGAGACACUGUACCAAGGAGGGAUUCUGAAAGAUGAGCCUCCCAUUAUGAGACCUGCCAUUUUUGGCGAAACUGCAACUGGUUUUUACACUCCAGGUUUUCUCUUGAAGAAUCUCACGGUGGGCAAUUUUUACUGUUUCUACAGUUAAGUUCUCCAUCCAUAUGAAUUUCGGAUACAAAUAUUAAAACACAAAUACUUUAAAAAAAGAAUAAACAAGUUCAUCGACAUAGGUGAACCCUUAAUGUACCUGUUACUGACUUACUGGCAUGUCACACUGUAUCACCCGUGGCCCAACAAGUGGCAAUGUUUAUGGUUUGGGUUUAUCAAAUAAAGUGGCAACCGACAUAUGCAAAUGCUAGAUAUGGCCCCAAUUCAGGAACAUCCCCCUAUUGUAGAGGCAAUUGACAUUUUAACAUAGACAAAAACUUUUACUAUGAAUAUCAGACAAAUUAUAUUUUGAAACAUUACAGGAUUGGCUUACUCUGUUUGGUGCAAUUACUGCUUGGAUCAAAAUACAAAGUGCAAAUUCAGCUCUCAUUAGGGCAAGCUUGAAGACAGAAAACAGAACAUAUAAUUGUAUAGGGACUGUUUUGGCUAAGAAUGGUUGCUGGUCAUUUCUCAAAGGUGGAUUUGUUCUUGAUUCACCUUCAAAUUUAGCUUUACUGCUAUUCCAGGUGAACCUGUUUUCAAAUCAAUAUAAAUUUAGGCUUUUAUAUGUGAAAACAAUUGAGCAUUAGAUUAUUAAUGCUGUCACUAAUUUUUGCUUCUAAGAACCCUUUUUUUUUCUAAUGUCCUGGAUAUGCAGAACUCAGAUGAUAAAGACAUUGAUAUAACAAUUGAUAGUUCCUCGUUACAGCCAUUUACAGAUCAAGAAUGGAGGUUCAAUCAGCAAUUCAUGAUUAACACUGUAAUUACUAUUGACACACUUUGUGAAAUGAUAUUUCAACAAUGGUAAUGUUCAAUAUCUUAACAAAAUUACUUACUGUCUAGUAAAGGAAGCGUGCUGUAACAAUACAUGUCUCAGAUCAACAAGGUAAUAGGUUGCAAGGAGCAGCAAUAACUAUAAACCAAGUCUCAAAGGAUUUCCCAUUUGGUUCUGCAAUAGCACACACCAUUCUUGGGAAUUUGCCCUAUUAGGUAUGUGUUCAUAUUCAUUUCUUAAUACUUAUCGGACAAUGCUAGCUAAUUGAUCUUGUUUUUUUUUGUCUUCCAGAACUGGUUUGUUGAACGAUUCAAUGCAGCAGUGUUUGAAAAUGAACUGAAAUGGUAUGCAACAGAACCAGAUCAAGGGAAGACCAACUACACCUUAGCUGACCAAAUGCUGGAGUUUGUUAGAGCUCACCAAAUAAUAGCCAGGGGCCACAACAUAUUCUGGGAAGACCCCAAGUACACGCCUAGAUGAGUGAAAUUACUUGUCUUCUGCUAGAUUAAAAUGUUUUUAAUAUCCUUUCUGUAGGCAAUUUGAUUAAGGUCAAAUGAGCUAAAAUUGGAGAGGCAAUUGGAGAACUCACAGGCUGAAAUUUCUUCUUUCAAGUAUGCUUUUUUAGGUCUAAUUAUGAAAUUUGUCCCUUUAUUUUACAGCAUCUGAGAAGUUAGUCCCUCUGAUUUGUCAGAAUGGUCCUCAUAUUUUAUGAACACUAAGAAAUUAAUCCAAUUGAGUAACAUUGUUAAACCUUCUUGUUAAACUGAGCUGUUCAGGAACUUAUGUGCUAGGAAUUAGUAAAAACCAGCAGUAGCAUAUUUAUGGUACAAAAAAAUUGACCUAUAUUCAACUUAGAUUACUAUUGAAGUUUUGAGUAUAGUUUUGGCACAGCAUGCAACAUGUUAAUUUUGCACCAUGCAUCUGGUGUAAUUAUAUGUUAUUUUCAGUCUUACUAACCUAGAUUAUUUUAACAGUUUGUAUCCUUGGUGCAUCCAUCAGUUAGUGUUGAUUGUUCGAUACUACAUGAUUGCUAUGAAUCAUUUGCAAUGUAUUGCUUUGGAAGAUACCUUGUUGCUUGNNNNNNNNNNNNNNNNNNNNNNNNNNNNNNNNNNNNNNNNNNNNNNNNNNNNNNNNNNNNNNNNNNNNNNNNNNNNNNNNNNNNNNNNNNNNNNNNNNNNCAGCCUUGCACGAUAUUUCAUUUAGUUUACAGUUUCUGUGGUGACAUUGUCUUUGUUAUUUGCUUUGCUUAUGCCCUUGAAUCUGAAUUUUGGACACCCAUAUAUUAUUUUCAAUGUCAUUUCAACACUCUGUUUUUUCAUAUCUUUACUUUUUAAGAAUAUAUAGGUUCUUCUGAUGUCUAACAUACCAUAAUCAUAAUUCCCCUUAAUGCACUAAAAGGAAUAUUGACUACUUUGUUAGUAAGCAAAGUAUAGGAUGUUGUUGAACUUUGGCCUGCAAUGCAAUAGGAAACCAGCAGCAAACCAGCAUGCAGACCAGCAUCCAAGCUGAACCAGAUAAGCAGCAGCAUUUUGUUUAUUUUGUUCAUUUGUAACUUGAUUUAGUUGCAAUGUAAUUUAUACUUAAAGUUAGUAGGAGUAGUUGUUGAUUUAUGUUUGAUGUUAUAGCUGGUAUGUCAGCUACAUUUUGUUUGAAAUUGUAUCUAGGAUUUNNNNNNNNNNNNNNNNNNNNNNNNNNNNNNNNNNNNNNNNNNNNNNNNNNNNNNNNNNNNNNNNNNNNNNNNNNNNNNNNNNNNNNNNNNNNNNNNNNNNAUUAGUUAACUGCCAUAUUUCAUUGUAACAUAAAUGCUUCUCAAGUCAAUGAAAAAGAUCUGAUUUUUGGAAAUCAAAUUCAGUUUUCUUCUUGUUCAAACUUCUUUGCAUUCGUUUUUUUUUCUCCUUAUUUUUAUGCUAAAAAAAACCAACACAUGUAAUCCGGACUACUUAUGUAUAUGGCAUAUUGCUUAUUCAAGUAAUGAAGUUAAUUUUUACAUCAUCCGGGUUACUUGCUUUUGUUUUCUUUCUCUGCUAUCAAAACCCCAACAGAUGUGAUUUUCAACUCUUCCCUUUAGCAUUGAUGACCAGCUCAAGGCUCGACAUUGCACGUUCUACAUGGUGGCCAUAGGCUAUUUCAGUUACUAGCCAACAGUUGGUUUUAGUUUUGAAGUUAUUUGGUGCUAGAAAUGUCUUGCAUUGAGUUAUUGAUGACAAACAUUUGAAAUAACAUGCAUUAAGACGCACAGACAUUGAGAAAAAGGGUAUUGUAAAUAUUUCAUUAAAAAGAUUUGAAAGAAGAAUGAAUAGUAAUAAUUUUUGAAUUUUUCUCUAGUUUUAAUUUAUUUUUAAUUAUUUAUUAUUAAAAAUAAAUAUAAUUGUAAUAAUUUUUAAUCAUUUAUUAAUUUUGUAAUUGUUAAAUGAUUUUAAAAAUUUCUAUUAUAUAUCAUUUUUAAUCUAAUGUCCUUAAAAGUCAUUUUCUAUUUUCACCUCACCGCUACAGCUGCUUUUGAAUCCAAACAUACACUCCACCGCUGUUUCUAAUCUCACUGCUACAAUAUCCAAUCUUACCGCUACAGUAACUAAUCUCACUACCACCGCUGUUUUUAAUCUCACCAGAGCUAAACACACCGCCCAUCCAAACUAAGCCUAAGUCUAAAAAAAAAUAUAAAAAUUGUAUGAAAAGGUUAUAAAAACCAUUUGGACAGAUUGUAAAAGAUAUAAAAGAAACAAAAAAAAAAACUUUCAAAAGGUGAUAUUUUUUCCCUUAUUUAUUUAUUUUGAAUAUAUAUAUAUAUAUAUAUAUAUAUAUAUAAGAACAAAAAAUAAAAAUAAAAACUUUCUUACCUUUUCGGAUGGUGAUCGGCAGAUCUAAGCUCGGGUGGCCGAUAGAGAGAGGAAAGAAAAAAAGGAAAAACUUUCUUACCUUUUCGGACGGCGGCUGCCACGUGGCCAAUGGCCAAAAUCUGGGCUGUGCCCAGAGAGAAUGGGAGAGGAUUUCUAUUUUUAUUUUUGAAAAUAUGGUGAAAUGAUUUUUUUUUGUUUUUUUGUUUUUUACUUAUAUAGGCAGACAAAAUGACGUUGUUUUGGGACUGGCCUCAGACUCUCAAAAUGACGUCGUCUUGAGGUGGACCCAAUCUGAUCCGAUCCAUUCCCUAGGAUUUUUUGUAAAAUGAUCUAUUUUUGCUUUUGGCCCUUUCACUGUUUUGAUGAGUUACAAUGAGGUCCUAUUUCUUUUUUUCUCUUUUAAUUUUACCACGGAAUUUUAAUUUUAUUUCAUUUUAGUCCCCUAAGAAAUGGUGUGCAUAAGGUCAAGGAAUAGUUUCCUAUUCGGUCCCUGUUCUUUUUAGCGUGUUAUUAAUUCUUAUUAGCAUAUUUUGUUAUUUACAAUUUAUACCCCUUAGUUUUAUUUCAAUUUCAAUACGAUCCUUAGUUUAUUUAACUUCAAUUUUUUUACGAACUGUUUCAUUUAUUAUUUUAUUAUUUUAUUACUAUUUAUUUAUUUUCAAUUUUUAAUCAAAUGUUUUAUUGGUAUUCAACUUAUUUAUUUAUUUAUUUACUUAUUGAUUCCUUUGUUUUUAUUUUUAAUUGGCUUGCUUUUUGUAUUUUCCUUUUAUUGUGCAAUAUUUUUUUUUAUUUUUCCUUUAUUAUUGUUAUUAUUCCAUUAUUUAUUUAUUUAUUUAUUACCUUUUAUGUACUUUCAAAAAAAAAAAGAUUAUUUAUUAUUUAUAUUAUCAUUUUCAUUAUUAUUAUUAUUAUUAUUUGUUUAUGCAUAUUAAUAUUAUUAUUGCUAUACUUUUAUAUUUUAUUAUGCAUAUUAUUAUACCGUUAUUAUAAAUUGGUGUUGCAUUAUUACUAUUAUAUUAACAUGAUCUCAGCUACCUACUUAUUAUCAUUUUUACUAUGAACAUUUCGAUUUCUCUUCUCUUUAUUCGUGUAGCCGUUUUAUUUUUAUUUUAGGCCUUAUCAUAUUUUCCCUUAGGUUUAGAUAUAUUUAUUUGUUUCCUCACUAUGGCUCAAUCCCGUAUUGUGUUAAAUAGUGAAUCCAUUUUUUACACGACUUGUAAGAAAUAAUUAAAAUUAAGCCAAUGUUCUGUAUUUGGAAUUUGAGAAGUGAUCCCCUAACUUACGGGGCUCAACUUUCUUGUUAAACCUAGAUUACAAAAUAUUAUUUUAAAAUUAAAACACGUGAGAUUUAAAUAAUAAUUUAAAUAAAGAGCAAGCUUAUUUUUGAAGAUUCGAGAUGUUGUAUCCUAACUUACGGGAUAUGACCUUUAGUUACCUCGAGAUAAGAGGGCCUUUUACAUACAUUUUUGAUUUAUUCAAAUGAUUUUUAAUAACAUAAUGCAAAGUGGGAUCGUGUUUUAAACUCUCUUCAAAUUUUUUAAUUCACGACACUAAGACUUUAAUUAAUCAACUAAGUACCAAUUUUGGGCGUCACGAGAUGCUAAUACUUCCUCAGAAUUCAUUUUUUUUCAAAAUCAGCGGGUAUGCACCACCUUAUUUCUUUUUUAUCUGUGGACAAAGUUAACUAUCAUAUGGUAUUUGGACUUGUAGCUUGUAACAUUGACAUUCGUUUUUCAGUCUAUUCUAAUUUUAUGUUACCAUUUUACAAUGCAGAAGGUACUUAAAACAGAGAGGCUCAAGCAAAAAUCUUUAAUGAAAAUGGUAAAAGUGUCUAACAAAUAUGAGCAUAUUUUUCCUUAAAAUUGUCUUUUCCUUGACAUUGGCUUUAUAUUUUAUCAAACACGUGUUGGGUUUCUUCAUCUAUGGGUUUCCAGCAAAUACCAUAAUUUUUGUUCUUAUCGUCCAUUGCAGCACCUAUAUAUGGGUUUCUUCAUCUUUAAUUCUGGUAAAGAAGACGGGAUUUUUAUAGCUUCAAUUGUUUUAUCAAACCCAUAGUCCUCAUCUUUUACAAUCUUCUUCACCACUCUCCCUAGUUUUGAGUUUUUUAACCUAUUCUAGUAAAUAAUCUUUUAAAUGACCCAUUUUUGUAAAUAAAGUUGGAAAGGGGUCUUUUUUAGUAAAAUGCCCUAUAAAAGCACCUAUAUAAACUAUUUUCAUCAAAAUUUAAUUUCCAAGAAAUUCUCUUUGUUGCCAAAAUUUCAAAGCAUUUGACAUAUUAAGCAAUGAUGAUCAAAAGUAUUUUUGAAUUCCCAAAAUAAUUGGAAAUUUCAUUAUUUAUGAUCAGUCAGUCAACAAACUCUUCAAUCUUAUUUGGUUUGAAAAAAUAGAUAUAUUUUUGAAGUAGUUUUUUGAAAAAAUGAAAAGCGUCCAACACAUCUCAAGCGUCAACAAAUUCAUUUUUCAGUUAAACCAAGAAAGUUUAAAAAGUUCAAUCUUUUUAAAAAUAAAAAUAAAAAAAUUAAAUUUAAACUUAAACUUAAAAAAAAUGAAAACAUAUUUUAACCUUCAACUAUUUGUUAAUUUCCUACUUAUUUCCACAACUUUUGCUUUUGAUUUUGAAUCUAAACAGUGAAAAACAAAGGAGAAAGCAAGAAAGGAAUGAAUAGAAUGAAUUAAAAUAUUUGGUGGUACUCCAUUUUCUCUUUCGAGUUUGAAUAUUAUGGUUUUGGAUAAUAUUUUGACUAUAAUUGGUAGCAGAUAUGGAAGAAAAAUUUAAGACUAAGGCUAAUAAAAUCUCAUAUUAUCCUUUUCUUUGUUAGUCCAAAAAUAUUAAAAAAUUUCAAGUUAAACUAAUUUAAGGAUUUAAUUAAAAUGUUUUAAAAAAUUUCUAUACUUUUGUAAAUAAUGAUUUGAAUAUCGGAAUUAACUAUUAAGUAAAAGAAUAAUGUUGUAUGGAAACUACAAAUUUCAUAAAUAUAAUUUGAACAACAAUAUUAGCAAAAAGGACAACUAAGAAUCCCUGUUAUGAAUCUUAAAAUGUAACGGGCAACUUAUCAUUUGAUGUAGAAUUUUUUAUAAUUAUUUUAUGUCUUUUAAUAUAUUUUUUUAAAUUUUAAAAAUUACAUUUAUCAACUAAUUAAAUUAUAUUCUAUAAUUAAUUUUAAAAAAUCUAUUAAAUAAAUUUUAUAACUUAAAUUUAACACCUAUUUUUAAUAUUUAAUUUUUAACACUUAAUAUUUCAAAACAACUAAAACUCCCAUCAAUAAAACCUCAUACCAUCAUUUAUUUAUUAGUCCAAAACAUAUAUAAUUUCUAAUUAGAAAUUCUUGGAAAAUUAAAAUGCUCCACCACUAUUGGAAUAUUAUUCAUAUAGAAUAAAGAUGGAGAAAAAAAAAAGACCGAAACAUUGAAAUUAAUAUGACUAAUAAAACCAAUAAAAUCUCAUAAUCCCAAAUUAAAAUUAACAAAAUGACAAAAGAAAGAUGUAAAGCAAAUUAAGUGUGAAUGGGACAUAAGACUAGGAAUAAAUGAUUCAUGCUUUAUUACUAAGAGGUUUAAUAUAUAUAAUAAGGGUAAAGUUAGACCAUCAAACCACUCAAAUUUGAUUUCAAUAACAAAAAAAAUUAUUCAACUUUCAACUCAAUCAUUUAAUUUUCAAAAAAUACCAAACCAGUCUUACUAAUUAUUUUUCGUUAUAGAUAUAACGAAAAUGUGACCUGUCAUUUAACUGGCCACGUUGGAGUCAUUGUUGUCAUUUAAUUGACCAUGUUGGAGAGUUUAUUGUCAUUUAAACAACCCCAUUUAAGAACCCUAGCUAGGAAGAAGAAGAAGAAGCCAGUGGCCUCAAAUCCUAAUAAUAAAACAAUAGCAAAAAAAUUAUUACAAGCCCAAAUACAAAAGAGAGGCCCAAUCCUAAUAUUUCAGUAGAAACCCUAGUUGCCCUAGCCUCAUGCUACGCCGCUAGCCGACAUGUCAGCAAAAGCAGCGCCCAAAACCUUUCCCCUUGCACCAAAACGGCAACAGCAACCUCGUUGACUUCCACCGCCUCUGUAAGAAACAAAAAAAGGAAAAAGAAGCAAAAACAAGAAACCGAAAAAACAUAUAUUGUAAUAUUAUUUCGGUUAUAAAAAUUGAUCUUUGUAACACGAAAAGGGAGAUCGAAUACAUCAAAAUAAGAAGACGAAAUUGAAAUACAAAAAAAAUAUUAGAAUAAUCGAAAUAAAAAUACCACAAAGUUCAAAAAGGUAACAUUUUAUUGUUUAUUAUUAUUUUAUUUUGAUUUUUCUCUUUUCAAAACAAAAAAAAAGGGGAAGAAACUUUACCUGUUUUGCGCCAUCGCCGGAGGUGCCCUCCGACUCGAGAAGACUUGGACCCCUUAGGGUCUAUGGAAAGCAUCGUUGGAGAGAGUAGAAGCCGAAAGGUUUCUCCCAUUUUUUACAAAUUUGGCUAAGUUUUCGACGAUUUCGGCUCCAAAUUUGUGAUCUACGCGGAAAAGGAUUUCGGGGCAAUUUCUGGUGAUCUUCAGCCACCGGAGGUGGCAGUCUCCGUCAAUGGUGACCGGCAGCCACAGCGGAGACUUGUUGGCCUCGUGGCCGGACUUGAACCCACUUUAGAGAAAAAAAAAGGAGAAUAAAGUUUUUUUUUUAAAAAAAGAACAGGCUAAAAUGAUUUUUUUAAAAAAAUUUCAACUUAUAUAGACAUAUCAAAACGACGUUGUUUUGGCCUGACUUUAGAAACCCCAAAACGACGUUGUUUUGACAUAUCAAAACCCGUUUUCCCCAUAGGAUCUGCGUGUUUUUGAAGGGAGGGGAUAUUUGCAGCUUUGGUCCUUUCACUUUUUUCAUCUUUUUUAAAACACAAUUUCCAAUAAAAUCUAACCCUAGAUCUAGAAAUAGUUAAAAAAAUCUAUAAAGUCGAGGUUGAUUAACAAAUGAAACAUCGUUAAGGAAACCUAUAACAUUAUUAAGGAAAUUUACAUAUCGAUUGGAAGGUCUUCUUCACCGGGUUAAGCGACGGGAAGUUGGGAGGGGGUGAACAAAUUAGGAAGGAAAAGUUUGGAUCUCUGAUGGUUUUUCUUGUUUCAACAUAUCCAUUUCUUCUCCUCCUCCUCCUCAUCUUUCUCUUCUUUUAGUGUUUUGUUUGAUUCUUAAAAUGGGUUUCCAUUGUGGCAAGUUAACUGGCCACGUCACUUGUCUCGUUAGACUUAUAACGAAAAAUGUUAGUGGGUGAUUGAUUUGUUAGUUUUUAAUAAUGUUAAUGAUCAAUUUGUUAUUUUUUAAAAGUUGAGUGACUAUUUUGUUAUUGAGAUCAAAAUUAAAUGUCUGUUGGUGUAAUUUAUUCUAAUAAUAAUUAAUUAUUAUUAUCCCUUGCUUUAAUAUGUUGAGAAAGUUAAGGGAAAUGUAAAUAAGUUAAAAGAAAGUUAGAAAUUAGUGAGUUUCAUCACUUUAGAAUUUUAAAAGACCGAAAAAGUGAGUGAAAAAGUGCCCACUAUCAAUUUGGAAAUUACUUUCCCCUCAUUUUUUAAUAUUGGUAUGAAUUUCGAUAUUAUAAGUUGUGAUGAUAUUUAAAUUUAAAUAUUCUAAUUAUUAUCUAUAAUAAAUUUGGAAUAGAUGUAAAUAUUAAUCCUUGAAUAUCUGUAUAUCAAAUUAGCUUUGCUUUUGUAAACAAUGGACUCAGAAUUUUGGACUUUUUAAAUUUAAGAUAAUUUUUUUAUUUUAAAUUUGAAUAACAAUAUUAUGAUUUAAUGCACAUAAUAAAGGGUUUAAAAUUUAAAGUAAGGACUCAAGUUGAAAUAUUAUAAGAAAAGUGCCAAACAAUUCCACAAAUUAAAAGCAAAGACUAAGAAUAGUUUAUAUUUUCCUCAAAGCAACCCAUUAUUGACUUUUUUUAGUCGUUAAUUUCAGUGUGUAUCUAUUCAUUUCAUACGCUUUAAGAAGAUUAUUGAAAAUUCACUAAAUUAUGAGAAAAUUUAGUCUUUGAGCCAUCAAUCUAUCUCGAUCAGCUAAGACACUCACCACAAUUCCAUCUUUUCUUUAUGUCAAAACUUAAAUAUGUUCUUUUUCGAAGAAAUUAUGUUAAGUUCCGUCAUCAUAAUUUCCACCCUUGUUUUUAUAAUGACUUGACUUAAAUGAAGUGGGAGACCAUUACAUUCAUAUAGUAAAAAUCAGAAAAAAAGAAAAAGAAAAAGAAAGAUUUGAUGGGUCAUAAAAGUAACUAAAAAUUUGACUAAAGUAAUUGUACCUAUCAAUUAAUAGGAUAGUUAUAGUGAAUAAAGAUAUCAUUUUCACGAAGACUUAAAUUCCUGUCAAAGAAAUAAUAUACUGGUAAAGCUAGGUUGACUUUGAAAUUUCAGUCUAAUUAAAAUCUCUAUUACAUUAACUUGUUCUUUGGAUUCCCUAUUAGAUUUGACUCUAAUUCGGUAGAUUUAUGUCGUCAUAUUUCUAGGAUUGCAUGCAACUUCACUCAACUACGUAAGAUUUACUCUUAAACAUGAUCUAUUCCUCAUUUGAUUUAAACACAUUAAACAUGGAUCAAUAAUUUAGAAAUAUUAAACCAAGAAUUGAGCACACAUAAUUGAAAAUAAGAAACUAAGCGUUUAUUAUGUAAAAUAAAAAUCAAAUGAUAGAAUCCAUCAUAGGGUUCGUCUUUCCUAGGUAUUUAGAAAAUUAGUUCAUGCUCGAAAAUAAAAACAUCCAUGAGAUAGUAUAAUAGAAAGAAAUAAAGAAACUCAUGAUAACUCCUUAGGAAUUCAACUAGGAAUCUUCAAUCUUAACUGAAAUCUUCUUCCAAGACAAGUUCAAUGGUUUUUUUGAGUUUUUUUCUUAAACGGCUUACUCCUCUGUUCUUAUUUCUGUCAUGUAUAAGUCUUAGAAUGCCCAAAAAUCCUAAAAAUCGCAUUUUUCGCAACUGGGUGUGAAAUCCCAUUAAAUCGAUAUAGUCUACCACAUGGCUAUGUGAUAGGCUGUGUGGAAUGGGUCAGCCUUUGUGGCUUCUAUAGCUUGCUCCAAUUUUCACUCAUUUUUCACUUCUUUUGUUCCCAAAUGCUCUAUUAAGCAUAAAAUCAUGAAUCUAAAGGAUUAGGAGCAUAAAAUUCACCAUUAACAUUGAAUAAUCAACCAAAAACGCAUUAAGAACGAGCUUAAAAUAUGUUACUUUUUAACACUUAUCAAGACUUAGAUGUUUGCAUGCAAUGCUAAAUAUUAGCAGCAACCUCAUUGACUUCUACCGCCUUUGCAAGAAACACAGAAAAGAAAAAGAAGCAGAAACAAGCAAUCGAAAAAAACAUAUAUUGUAAUAUUAUUUUAGUUAUAAAAAUCGAUCUUUGUAACUCGAAAAGAGGGAUCGAAUACAUCGAAAUAAAAAAAUGAAAUCGAAAUACAAAAAGAAAUAUUAGAAGAAUCGAAAUAAAAAUACGACAAAGUUCAAAAAGGUAACAUUUUAUUGUUUAUUAUUAUUUUAUUAUUAUUUUUCUCUUUUUGAAACAAAAAAAAGGGGGGAGAAACUUUACCUGUUUUAUGCUGUUGCCGGAGGUCCCCUCCGACUUGAGAAGACUCAGACCCCUUGGGGUCCAUGGAAGGCAUCGUAGAAGGGAGUAGAAAUUGAAAGGUUUUUAUUGUGUUUUUCACAAUUUAAGAAAUAGAAAUACCAAUGGAACAGUGAUUUUGGGUAGAUAAUGGACAGGUACUUGAUGAAAUUAUAACGAAUUACAAGGAAAAUUUGCAGAAAAUAUGAGUUGAGAGAAGAAAGUUACAGACUUAGGGAUGAGAAAAGAACAAAAACGUAUUACUGAAAUCAUGACAUUUUCUGGUAUUUUUCCUCCUUAAAAAAAGGGUAGCUGCAUGAGGGAAGUGUGAACUGUUAUUCCCUUCCACGUGCAACCAGCUGAGGUGUCACUUGACAAAAUCUUUCAGCCAUUUGGGAGCCAUUCUGGGCUGAGUGCUUCCUCUAGUAGCCUGUGUAUUUGCUAUUCCAGUAGCCUGCUGCUGCCUUGGUGGAUCGUUCACAACAUUACCCCCACAUCGAGACAUACCUUGUCCUCAAGGUUGAGAUCAGGAAAUAAUUUCAACAUGUGAGCCUUAUCUUCCCAAGUUGCUUCAUCAACAGAUGAGCCGUCCCAUUGUACCAGCCAUUGCUUAAUCAAGGAAUUAGCUCGCUGAAUAGACCCCGUCUUCAAUAUAGCUGUUGGUUGUAAUAUAAGAGCAGAAGUAGAAUCAAUGAGGUGGAGAGGUGUUACCUGUUGAUCUGGUUGGCCGAGGCAUUUCUUGAGCAAAGAAACAUGGAAUACAGGAUGGAUAUGCGCGGAUUCCAGUAGCUCCAAUUUGUAAGCAACUUCACCAACACGACCAAUUACCUUAUAAGGACCAAAAUAACGUCUACUCAGCUUGUGCUGGCGUUGCAAACGAAUAGAAUGUUGGCGAAACGGUUGGAGUUUGACAUAUACCCAAUCUCCUACGACAAAAGUCACUCACGAUGGCUCCUAUCAGCCAGUAACUUCAUUCGGUUCUGUGCUUACCGUAAAUUCUCCUUUAACACCCGAAGAACUUGAUCACGUUCCACGAGUUGAGCUUCUACCAAAGCAUUACCAGAAGUAUCUCGUACAUAGCGAGCAACAGUAGGAGGAGGGCGACCAUAUGGAACCUCAAAUGGUGUCAUUUUGGUAGCCAUUUGAUAUGCCGUAUUAUACCAAAAUUCAGCCCAUGGCAGCAUGUUUGUCCAAGUCGAGGGGUGAUCCGAAGUAUAGCAGCGAAGAUAUAUUUCAACACAUUUAUUCAAUGCUUCAGUUUGGCCGUCAGAUUGUGGAUGGUAGGCAGUACUCAUACUCAAAGUUGUACCCUAUAAAUGAUGGAUUUCCUUCCAAAAGUCACUGAGAAAUAGAGGGUUGUGGUCUGAAACAAUCUCCACUGGUAUGCCAUGCAAACGAAUAAUCUCCUGAACAAAAACAGCAGCCACUGAGAUGCUAGUAAAAUUAGUGGGCAACCCGAUGAAAUGGCCAUAUUUGGAUAAUCUAUCAAUGACAACAAAGAUAACAAUUUUGCCUUUGGAAGAAGGUAAUGCUAUAAUAAAGUCCAUAGAAAUGCUCUCAAAAACCAAAUUGGGAAUCGGUAAUGGCUACAGCAAUCCACUAGGACUCAAGGAUGAGGCUUUCAUUUGUUGACAAAUUUGGCACUCUUUGACAUAUUGCUUAACAUCUCGACGCAUAGAAGUCCAAAAGAAAUUGGAGGAAAGACGAUGAAAUGUGCGUGUAAUAUCAGAAUGGCCACUGAUGGGAGAUGCAUGAAACUUAUGAAUAAGCUGUAAACGGAUAGGAGAAUCAGCUGGAAUCAUUAGGCAACCCCGAAAUAAUAAUAGGCCAUCAUGGAAACUAAAGUCAGGAAAUUGUGCUGGGCCAGCACACACUCGUUGCUGCAUACCCAAAAGUUCAGGGUGUUGUAAGUUUGCUGCACGAAGAUCAGCAAUAAGAUCAAAUUGCACAGUAGAUAAAGUAAGUAAUUGAGAGGAAGGGAUGCGAGAAAGAGAGUCAGCAGCAACAUUCAACUUCCCAGAGCGAUAGAUAAUGUCAAAGUCGUAACCAAUAAGCUUGCUCAACUAUUUCUGUUGCUCAGGGGUUUGUAUAACUUGAUGCAUGAUAUUCUUAAGUGGUUGUUGAUUAGUGAUAACUGUAAAUCUCCUCCCCAACAAAUAUUACCGCUAUUUCGAAACAGCUUGAGUGACCACAUACAUUUCACGUUGGUACGUCGAGUAUUGUUGCAUGCGAAGACUCAUUUACUAGCUGAAAAAUGCUAUUUGAUGCUUAUCUUGGGACAAAACAGCUCCGAUCCUAGUACCAGAAGCAUCUAUUUCAACUGCAAAAGGUUUCAUGAAGUCCGACAAGGCUAAGACAGGGGAUGAACUUAAAACCUCUUUCAACUUGACAAAAGCAUUGGUAGCAGAUUUUGUCCAAAAAAAUUAUCUUUGCGAAGAAGAUUAGUAAGGGGCUCUGCAAUAGAAGAAAAAUGUCGAACAAAACACCGAUAGUAUCUUGCGAGACCAAGAAACCCGCGAAUCUCCUUAACUGAACGUGGUAAUGGCCAUUUUUGAAUUGCAACAAUUUUAUCCGGAUCGACAGAUACGCCUUGGCUAGAGAUGAUAUGCCUCAAAUAUCCAAUAGAAGUUUGGCCAAAAAUAAAUUUGGAUUGCUUUGCCACUAAUUGAUGUUGCCGUAAAAUCGAGAGCACAAGAUGAAUGUGCUCCAAGUGAGCCUCCCAAGAAGGGCUGUAAAUUAAGAUAUCGUCGAAGAAAACGAGUACAAAAUUCUGCAAGUAAGGUCGAAAAACAUUGUUCAUGAGACUUUGAAAGGAGGAUGGCGCAUUGGACAAGCCAAAUGGCAUUACGAGGAAUUCAUAAUGCCCCUCAUGAGUUCAAAAGGCAGUUUUGUACUCAUCGCCAAUGCGAAUUCGCAGUUGAUGAUAGCCGGCCAACAAAUUUAAUUUAGAGAAAUAAACAGCACCAUAUAACUCAUCAAAAUGUUCAUCAAUGGAUGGAAUAGGAAAUGGAUCAUUGAUGGUAAUGGCAUUUAAGGCUUGAUAGUCAACGCAAAAUCGCCACGUGCCAUCCUUCUUGCGCACAAGUAGUACCGGAGAAGAGAAAGGGCUAGUGCUUGGCCGAAUAAUUCCAUCCUGAAGUAUUUCAGCAACUAAUUUUUCAAUCUCAUACUUUUGAAAAUAUGGAUAACGGUAAGGUUUAACAUUGAUUGGCUCACUGUCAGACAACAAAUGUAUCGCAUGAUCACAUGCACGGAUAGGAGGCAGACCCUGCAGUUUGAGGAACACAUCAGCAAAUGAAGUAACCAGUUGUUCUAAUUCCAAUGGAAGGGGCGUGGAGUUAAUAGGUUGAAAGGAAACCAAUUCCAAAUGAAAAUACUAUGCAAUAGCAUUGAUUUGAUGAAGGCGACGCAACCCAUUAAAUUGUACCGGUUGAACCGAAGAUGAAGCUUCUCCUGUCCAUCGAAUAGAUUGACCGUGAUGCUUGAACUCAAAAAUUGAUGACCCAUAAUCUAUCAUAACUGGUCCAAGAGUGGAUAACCAAGUAACACCGAGGACCAUGUCCCAUCCCUUUAAUGGUAAGACAUAAAAAUCAAUGCAUAUUUCACAGCAUUGAAUUACUAAGGGUACUUGUUUGACAAUACCAGUGCAAACUAAACGCUCGCCACUGCUGACCAAUAUAGAGAAACUAGGAGAGGCAGUUAUUAGAAGAUUCAAAUACGUGGCCACACGGGUUUGCACAAAGUUAUGUGUGCUCCCACCAUCGAACAACACCUGGACUUGCUUGCCACGGACUGUACCCUCAAAUCGAAGAGUAGAAGAAGAGCAACCUCCAGCCAGGGCGUUGUAAGAAAUCGAAGAAUGGAGCUGUAAGUUGGUGUCAGGUGUGGUGGAAUCGAAAUUUAGUAGGUGAAGAUGGCGAUAAAAGUUCAGGCGCGAGAGCAUCAGGUGGCUCGGACUCUUCUUCCAGAAGUAACAGGUGGGAUUUUGCUUUACAUUUGUGUCCCCACUCAUACUUCUCAUCACAAUGAUAACAGAGGCCCUGUGAACGGUAGUGGGCAGCCUCAGUACAAGUAAGGCGGCGAAAUGGAACGCGGUUACCACUAGGUAAGGUUGCAGUGGCUGUUGGGGUGGAAGGAGAAAACACUGAAGGACCAGGAGAUUGUUUGGGAGUUGGUAACAAUGGUUUGGAACCACCCAGGCUAGGCUUAAGUACCCCACGUUCCAGCUGAAUGCGCUGUUCAUGGAGCUGGGCUAGAUGCAUGGCUUCAGACAAGGUGGCUGGUUUAUAGACCAAAACGGAGUGUUUAAUGUCAGCGCGGAGCCCAGAAAUAAAGCAAUGAGUCAAGAACUGGGUCGGAAGAUGCAUCGUGUGAUUUGUAAUGGCUUCAAAUUGAGAGCGAUAAUGAGCCACGGUAGAGUUCUGCUGCAACUUUGCUAAAAUUCCCUCGGGUUCCUCUAGGUCUUGAGAACGAAAUCGCUUCCAGCACGUAAGUUGUCUAUUUCUAUGCAUCCAGUCAUACCAAUCUAAAGCGGCACCGUCAAAAUAAAAUGAAGAAAUAGUUACCCGAUCGUCCAGUUUGAUUUGAUAAAAAUCAAAGUAACGUUCUGCCUGCAUUACCCAAUGUUCAGGAUGGUCGCCGGCAAAUCGAGCCAUCUAUACCGGAGUGGGUUUAUGAUGGCCCAAAGGUGUGAAACCAACAGAAUCCAUCGAAAGAGAAGCACCUGAAGAAUCAACAAUGGAUGUCCCCUUGAGCUUAGCCAAAACGUCCUGAAGAAGAUGCCUCUGAUCUUCCACUGAAGAAGCUAAUAGGUCAAAAUCACGACGCAUCGUCGUUUGAGAAUCGACAAUCGCCUUGAUAUUAUCAUCCAAGACCUUAAGACGAGUUUGAUGUUCACCCAUGGCUGGGGAGGCUCAAUGAAAGCACCAAUGUUGUGUUUUUCACAAUUUAAGAAAUAAAAAUACCAAUGGAACAGUAAUUUUGGGUAGAUAAUGGACAGGUACUUGAUGAAAUUAUAACGAAUUACAAGGAAAAUUUGCAGAAAAUAUGAGUUGAGAGAAGAAAGUUACAGAAUUAGGGAUGGGAAAAGAAUAGAAACAUAGUGCUGAAAUCAUGACAUUUUCUAGUAUUUUUCCUCUUUAAAAAAAAGGGUAGUUGCAUGAGGGAAGUGUCAACCGUUAUUCCUUUCUACGUGCAACCAGCUGAGGUGUCACUUGACAAAAUCCUUCAGCCAUUUGGGAGCUAUUCUAGGCCGAGUGCUUCCUCUAGUAGCCUGUGUAUUUGCUAUUCCAGUAGCCUACUGCUGCCUUGGUGGAUCGUUCACAACAGUUUUUCUUAUUUUUUAGGAUUUUGGCUAAGUUUUCGGUGAUUCUGACUCCAGAUUAGUGAUCUACGUGGAAAAAGAUUUUGGGGAAAUUUUUGGUGAUAUCCGACCACUUGAGGUGACAGUCUCUAUCACUGAUAACCUGUAGCCACUGUGGAGACUUGUUGGCCUCAUGGCCAGACUUGAACCCACUUUAGAGAAAAAAAGAAGAGUAAAGUUUUUUUUUUUAAAAAAACGGGCUAAAAUGAUUUUUUUUUUCAAAAUUUCAACUUAUAUAGACAUACCAAAACAACGUCGUUUUGGCCUGACUUCAGAAAUCCCGAAACGACGUUGUUUUGACUAAUUUUCUUAUGGAUAUGUUUGACUAUUUUAAUGAACAUCGCAGACACAUUUAUUUAGUUUAUAUGAAUAAACGUGAACACAAAUAGACCAAAAAAAAAUAAACUGACGGAUCAAACCUAAUUCAUAUACAAUCCUACUCACAAGGCGGGACAAAGAUUACUACAGAAUUAUGUGGAUUUGUUACAAUUUUAUCAGGCACAUUCCUCCUUCACAAAAACAAAGACAUGGGAAAAAAUUCUAGUGGCAGACUCCCUGUUUAUACAUCUCUUGAACCAAAUACAAUCGCCGAAUCUAGAUAGUUAGCCCUACAGGUUUGGAAUUCGUAUUUGGAUUCUAAUCCAUAGCUUUCUUGCAUUUAGUUUGUAAUAGGCCAAUUUAGCCCGAGCUCACAAAAAAAUAAUAAACCCAAAAUAAUAAAAUAAAGUCCAAGUCCAGUCCAAAAUUGUAUCAUUUGGCCCAAUCAGAAUGACCCAUUACUUGAAAAAGGAUAUGCAAUCUUAGAUAUGAUAUGCAAUCUUAGAAGAUAAGAUUUUGUAAUUUUAGAUAUUUAAUUUAUAGAUACCCUUUAAAUCUUAACCGUUGAUGAAAUUGAUCUAUACCGUUGGAUUUGGGGAGACUCAACUAUAAAUAGAGGCCUCCCCCUUCAUUGUAAAACACUGGAGUUGGGAGCAAUAAUAAAUCUUAAGAGCAUCCACUCAAAUUUAUCCUUCUCUUGCGUUCUUAUUUUCUGUGGCUUGUUCUUAUUUUGUUUUUCGUUCAUCUUCGUUUCUUUUUAAGUUGCUUUCAUUUGAGUUGGAUUUUGGUGGAGGAAUUUCUUUGAAUCUUCAUAUUGUGGGAGUAAGGCUGCUUUAAGCGUUUUUUAACCUUUUUUAAUUAUCUAUUUAAUUGUUUAAUCAUUAAUUAUUCUCUUACUUUUAUUUGUUUAUUUAUCUAUCAACUUUCUUAUUUACAUAUUGUUCAUUCAUUAAACCAUUCUUAUCAUUCUUUUAUUUUUUCAUUAAUUAUAUAUUUUAUUUGUUUUUAAUAUUAUGUCACACAUGUUGUUUAUUUUUUAAAAACUCGUGUUAUAAAUCAUUCAUUUUAAAUUGUUUGAUUAUUUGCCUUAAAUUUUUUUCCAUAUAUUAUCAAUUGCAAUUUAUAUUUUAUACUAUCUAUUUUUUUCCAUAUUUUGGCCCUCAGUUUGGUUUUAUUCUCAUUUUUUUUCCUUUUAAUUCUGUUUUAAAUUCAAUUUAAUCCUCACAAGUUUGAUUUAAUUUGUUUGUGUUUUAUUUAUUUAAGUAUUGAUUAUCAUGUUUUUUCAAAAUUUUGAAUCUGAUGUUAUUUGAAUGUUUAUACUUAUUAUUAUUAAAUUAAUCAUUAAAAUUAUCUAAGUGUAUUGUAUAUUAUUAUUUUAGAUUUAUCAUGUUUUAUUGUUUGUGAUUUAUCAAUAUUAUUAUUUUAUAUUUAUUGUUAACAUUAUUUUAAAUUUAUCAUGUAUAUCUAUUUCAAAUUUAUCAUUAAUAUUUUUAAAUUUAUUGUAUGCUAUUAUUUUGGAUUUAUCACGUAUGAUUAUUCUAGAAUUAUCAUCAAAAUUUUUAAAUUUUAUAUGUAUUAUUAUUUCAAAUUUAUUAUAUAUUAUUUAUUGUAAACUAUCCAAUUCAUUUUAAAUUGUAGAUAUUAUUUGUAUUAAAUUGUACAUUCAUAUAUAUUAUUAUUUUUAACUCAUAUAUAUUGUUUAUUUUAAAAUUUUCAUCCUAUAAUUUAUUGAUUAUUAUUUCUCCUCUUGCCAUUGAUUUCUUUAGUAUAUCUUUUAAAAUUGAUUAUUAAUUCAUUUAAUUUUAAAAUAUUGAUAUUGGUAUUUGUAUAAUGUAUGAUUGAAAUUAUUGUUGCCAUGCAUGUUUAUAUUUGUUUAUUAAUUAUUUGUUAUUCAUUAGUGUGUGAUUUAUUUACAAAUUAUCCUUUUGCGUCGUAUGUUAUCAUUUAAUCACAUUACAUUUUAUUCAAAAGUUUAUAAAACAAGACUCGAUAUUUAAGAUUUUCGAGAAGAUUAUGCCCUAACUUACUGGGCUUCAAUUUUCUCUUUAAAUUCAAAAUAGCCGAGUAUCCCUUUUUUCAAUAAAAUCAUACAAAUUUCUAAUAAAAGUUUAUUCUCAAGAAUUCAAAGGGUUGUGUCCUAACUCACUGGAUGUGACAUUUUGUUAUCUCGAGACGAGUUUUUAAAACAAAAGCAAAUUAUUCAUUCGACCUUAAGACAUUAAAUAAUUAAUUUGGUACCAAUUUUAGGCGUUACGAGGGUGCUAAUCCUUCCUCGUACGUAACUGACUCCCGAACCCAUUUUUUUUAAAACUCGUAGACCAAAAUCGUUUUCAGGUGAUCCAAUCAUAUCCCAAUAAAGGAUUGGUGGCGACUCCAAUUCUCAUUUUUAAGUCGAAACUAAAAGUUUUUUGUUUUCAAAAAGUGGUUUCGACAGCUUGGUGACUCCACUGGGGACCUAAGAGAGUCGAGCCAUAAAUUAAUUAAUUUUUGUCUCAUGGUCGAAAAAUCAAAUUUUGUUUUAAAUUACGUUUUUCCUUCGCAUUCAUUGGUUUUCAUCAUGGCAUACUUGCUUGGUUUAAGUCUGUAAAUUUGUAUUUUGCAUUACAUAAGUUGGUCGAAUUUACCCCUUUAAGUGGGAGUGAGAAGCUAGUCCUUCGUGAGGUUUUCACCUCCGUGCAGGGUAGUGGACCGCUUUCGGAAUAAAUCCGUACCUAUGUCUUCGUGAGAUUUUCAUCUCUGUGCAGCCAUAGGGAAAUGUAUUCCCCUGAACCAAACUCGGUCCAUAUGAGCCUAUAAUGGGUGAGGAUCGAGGAAUCUGCUGGUUCGGGUACCUUUGCUCUAGAAGCCAAAACCUCAUAUAGUGAGCUUUAGAAACUUGCCCUAGGUAGAACUAUACCAAACCUUAGCCAAUUCUUGAAUAGGUGUUUUUAUUAUUUCCUGUUUGUGAUGAAUUAUGUUUUUAUACAUGAUACUAACUAUGGUUGUGUUUUGUUGUGUUUGCAUGGCAUUUUGAUUACAUUGCAUUAUCAUCAUAAAAAAAGGGUGUUGAUUCAAGUUUGAUUACUAAAUUAGAAGGCUUGUCAUGGAAAACGAAUUUCUUGAUAAAGUGGAAGAUAAUAUGGCUGCCCAAAUAUAUUUCAAAAAACAGAACAAAAAAAGUACAUGAUGUUACUUAGUGGCCCAAGGAUUCAAGCAGAUUAUUCAAGAGCUACUGACAUUCUAACUUCCUUAAAAGAGCUGAUUAGUAUUACGAGGAUGGGCAAAUGAUGGAUCGUGACCAGGAUUAAGAAAAAGGAGCUAGUAGUAGCAUCCAUUGGAAAUUUGUGAGAUUUAUCUUGAACAUACGAAUAAAGAAAGAAACCGAUGUUUCUUAGAGUAUAAGGGCGAGGCCGUACAUGCAUCCGUUUUGUGUAAAGAAGUUUGUUUUCUAGUAAAGUCUUCUAAAUGGAAUUGAAUUAGAAUCAACAUCCCUUUUUGCAUUCACUUUAUGCAUUUGCAUUGCAUUACAUCAUAUGCAUUAAAAUCCACUAAAAGGGUCCUAAUUAAUUAAAAUCAUUUUAGUUUAUCUCGAAACCGAUAAAAAAACUUACCAACCAAACCUUGUUAUGGUAUCUGAGCAAAAGACGCCAAUGAAAGAAAGUAUUAAAGAGAUGUUGGGAGGCUUUCAUAAUAAUGCCAUAGACACAGCUGAAAGAGGGACCCUGUUAGUAAUCCGUCCUAACGAAUCUAGAAGCAAGCUAAAUAAUUGGACUGCAGAAGAAAGCCCUGUAGUCUUUAGAGCUUAUUUAGAGUAAUGUUCCGAACAUUCUUGUUGUUUUUAGCCUAAAAAUAAGAGGAAAUCCUUUGUGAAAUAGGCUCAUGUCUGAAUGUUAUUCUAAUAAAACACAUUUUUGCAUUCGCUUUAAGCAAAGUGUUCUUUUAUUCUUUCAUUUGUUUGAAAUUGUCUUCCAAAUCAUUCUUUCAUUACAUUUAUAAUCAUGUUCAUAAAUUUAUAUAUUCUUUGUAUAUUCUUUGGUACCUACCGUAGGUCCACAGAUAUCAAUGACAUGAGUGACACUGCUACAAACUUAGAAUUUCCUUUUGAACGAGACAUGUGUUUAGAGGGAUCGUAUGACUUUGAAGAUGACAUAGAUUGUAGCCUAUCUCCGGACUUGUUGAGGAUGGUGGAACAGGAAGAGAAACAAAUCUUACCUCAGAAGGAGUCAAUAGAAAUUAUGAGUUUGGAAGAGGGAAAAAAGGUGAAUAUUGAAACUGAUAUUAGCACAAAGACGAGACGAGACCUCAUUAAGUUACUCUAAGAAUUUAAAGAUAUCUUCGCAUGGUCAUACCGAGAUAUGCCGGGAUUAAGCACUAACAUCGUAGUGCAUCGCCUUCCUAUAAGAGAGGAUUGCAAGCCAGUACAGUAGAAAAUCUGAAGGAUGAAGCCUGAUAUUGUGCUAAAAAUAAAGGAGGAGGUCAAAAAGUAGUUUGAUGCUGGGUUCUUACAGGUGAUCAAGUACUCUGAAUGGGUAGCCAACAUUGUCUCAGUCCCUAAAAAAGAUGGGAAAGUAAGAAUGUGCGUGGAUUACAGGGAACUGAACAAGGCCAGCCCAAAAGAUAAUUUCCCAUUACCUCAUGUCGACACUCUAGUGGAUAAUACAGCGGGCUAUUCUCUGUUUUCCUUUAUGGAUGGCUUCUCGGGAUACAACCAGAUAAAGAUGCAUCCCGAAGAUAUGGGAAAGACCACAUUCAUCACCCUUUGGGGAACGUUUUGCUAUAAGGUGAUGCCGUUUGGUUUAAAGAACGCUGGGGCAACAUAUCAAAGAGCUAUGGUAGCCUUGUUUCAUGACAUGAUGCAUAAGGAAAUCGAGGUUUAAUUUGACAAUAUGAUUUCCAAAUCUAGAAUAGAAGAGGAACAUGUGCAGGUCCUGAGGAAGCUGUUCUUAAGACUGUUCUUAAGACUGAGGAAAUUCCAGCUCAAGCUUAACCCAACGAAAUGCACUUUCAGAGCUAAGUCAGGAAUGCUAUUGGGUUUUAUAGUCAGUAAAAAAGGGAUCGAGAUUGACCUAGAAAAAGCUAAAGCGAUACGAGAUUUACCUCCACCACGUACUCAGAAGGAAGUUCGAGGUUUCUUAGGGAGAUUGAAUUACAUUGCCCGGUUUAUCUCACAACUAACUGAGAAAUGUGACCCAAUAUUUUGUCUAUUAAAAAAACAUAAUACAGGUGAAUGGGAUGAGGAAUGCCAAGAAGCCUUUAACAGGGCAAAACAAUACUUGUCAAAUACUCCAGUACUGUCACCACCUAGCCCCGAUAGGCCACUGAUACUGUAUUUGACAGUGUUUGACAAUUCCAUGGGAUGUGUGCUGGGCCAACAUGAUGAGACAGGAAAGAAAAAAGGGCAAUAUACUAUAUCAGAUUGUGAAAUGAGAUACUCGCCUAUUGAGAAAUUAUGUUGCGCUUUGAUCUGGACGACUCGGAGACUGAGGCAGUACAUGUUGUACUAUACGACUUGGCUAAUUUCAAAAUUAGAUUCUCUAAAGUAUAUGAUGGAGGCGCCUGUUUUGAAUGGGAGGAUGGCUAGAUGGUAGGUUUUACUUUCUGAAUUUGACAUAGUUUAUGUGAGUCAGAAGGCCGUGAAAGGGAGUGCAAUAGCUGACUUUCUAGCUAGUAAAGCUUUAGAAGAUUACGAGCCCUUGAAUUUUAAUUUUUCGAACGAGGAUUUGAUAUAUGUGGCAACUACUAAAGAAGAUUCCCAAGUGGGUCGCAUUUGGAAGCUAAAUUUUGAUGAAGCCUCGAACCCUGUGGGCAAUAGAAUUGAGGCAGUCUUAAUAUCCCCAGAUGGGAAUCACUAUCCUUUUACUUGCAAGUUGGAUUUUGGUUGCACAAAUAAUAUGGUAGAAUACGAAGCAUGCAUUAUGGGUAUUCGUGCUACUAUAGCGCGUGAUAUCAAAGUACUAGAGGUAUAUGGGGAUUCUACAUUGGUGAUAUACCAACUCAAAGGUGAAUGGGAAACGAGAGAUCCCAAAUUAAUCAGCUAUUGAAUGCUAGUUCUCGAAUUGAUUGAAGAGUUUGAUGAUGUUACUUUCUGCUAUCUCCCACGAGAUGAAAAUCAGAUGGCUGACGCGUUAGCUACUCUAGCCUCCAUGAUUAAAGUGAACAGACAAGAGGACAUGAAGCCUAUCUAGAUGAGCAUCUAUGAAGCCCCAGCUCAGUGUUACAAUAUCAAAAAAGGAAAAAAUAAUGAUAGCCCUUGGUAUCAAGAUAUAUUGUGAUAUGUGAAGAAUUUUGAAUAUCCUGACCAGGCAGCUGAGAAUGAUAAGAGGACUCUGAGAAGAUUAGCCAUUGAUUAUGUCCUAGAUGGAGAUAUCUUAUAUAAAAAGGGAAAGGAUCAGGUACUAUUAAGAUGUGUGGACGCUGUGGAGGCUAAGAAAAUAUUGGAGGAGGUCCAUGAGGGUAUUUGUGGAACACAUGCCAGUGGUUUCACAAUGGCUAGACAGAUUAUGAGAUUCGGAUACUACUAGUCCACCAUAGAAGGAGAUUGCAUUAAUUAUGCUAAGAAGUGCUAUAAAUGCCAAAUUUACAGUGAUAAAGUGCAUGCACCUCCUUCGCCUCUUCAUGUUAUGACUUCUCCAUGGCCUUUCUCCAUGUGGGGUAUGGAUGUCAUUGGGCCAAUAUCACCAAAGGCUUUUAAUGGGCAUCAUUUCAUCUUUGUGGUUAUCGAUUACUUUACUAAGUGGGUGGAAGCUGCUUCAUAUGCUAAUGUCACAAAGUCAGCAGUCAGCAUGUUCUUAAAAAAGGAGAUCAUAUACCGAUAUGGAAUGCCCGAAAGAAUUAUAUCUGACAAUGCAUUGAAUUUGAACAACAGCUCAAUAGCAUAGGUCUGCAGUCAAUUUAAGAUUAAGCACUAUAAUUCGUCACCGUAUCGCCCAAAAAUGAAUGGAGCAGUAGAAGCUGCCAAUAAGAAUAUCAAGAAAAUUAUGGGGAAAAUGGUUGAGACUUGCAAGGACUGGCAUAAGAAACUACCAUUUGCCCUCCUUGCUUAUCGAAUGUCAAUCAAGACUUCCACCGGGGCAACGCCUUUCUCCUUGGUUUAUGGUAUGGAGGCAGUGUUACCUAUUGAAGUCGAAAUCCCUUCUCUCUGGGUGUUGACUGAACCAAAGUUGGAUGAAGUAGAAUGGGUUCAAUCUCGGUAUGAUCAGUUGAACUUAAUAGAGGGAAAAAGAUUGAAAGCUAUUCAACAUGGUUAGAUGUAUCAAAAGUAAAUGAUGCGGGCCUACAACAAAAAGGUUCGUCUAAGAGAAUUCCACGAGGGGGACCUAGUAUUGAAAAAGAUCUUUCCCAUGCAAAGGGAUUUCAGAGGGAACUGGAUGCCAAAUUGAGAAGGUCCAUAUGUUGUAAAUAAGGCUUUUUCCAAAAGGGCUCUAAUCUUGAGGAAGAUGGAUGGCAGAAACUUGCCAAACCCUAUAAACUCAGAUGCAGUCAAGAGGUACUUUACCUAAAAGGAGAAGGAUCAAAGUGAAAACCCGCAAAGGACGCUUUGAGUCCUUAAAAAAAAGAGAAAAGGAGAGGCCAAGGUGAAAACCCGUAAAGGGUGCCUUGAGACCAAAGGGGAUUUGAGUUGAAAACCCGAAAAGGGUAGCUCAGAUUUUGAUCAAGGUGAGACAUGAGGUGAUCAAAGUAACUCAAAAUUUUGAUUGGGGCAUGUGGUGGUUUUGCUAUGCCUGAAUUAAGGAGAAAGGAGGUAUGCGAUGUUUAGGGCAUCGACAGAGUACUGUAGAUCUUCUAAACACAUGUCUUCAGAAAGUUUGUACAAAGAAGCUCAGGCUGCGAUAUCUGGGGCACCUAGCCUUCCUACUAUUUAUAUUGAACUUGUCAUCCCUGGAAUACUUUAUUCUUUGCUAUUCUUGGAAUACUUUAUUCUUUUCAAGAAACUUGUUCUCAAUCAGUUUUUUUAUAUAUUUACAUACUUUUUGACAAUUUAUUCAUUUUGAACUAUCUUAUUCUUAUCCAGUGUUAUAAUCUUUCGCACUCAUGUUGCGUUAGAAUACUGAUUAAUAGACUAAUAAAAAUUUCACAAGGGAAGUUUUGCAUAUUACUCUGGAAGUUUCUAAAUAAUACAGUAAUCUGAAACGGGACUAGUGUUUAGAAUACACCAAGCUUAAAUGUUGAAAUAUCUAGGAAUGAAAAGUCUAAAUUCAGACUAUCCCUUUAGAUAUCCCUUCAGAUUUUGUUGUCAAAAGUAUUAAUUGAACAAAAUGACAAGAUGUCAUGUUGGAGAUAAAGCUUCAAUCACCAAGCAAUAAAAAGGGGUUUUCUUGGAGAAGAGAAUAAUUCAUUGUGUAUAGGCAUGGUGUAGAGAGCCAAAGAGUUUCACAUUCCAUAUCCUUGAAUUGCGAUAAGAGAAGAUUGAGGGAAAACCAGAUUUUUUUCUCUACCCUUGGGUUACAGAAGGAAAAGAUGGUACAAAUUUUGUGUCCCAGUGGAUUGAGCCUUGAAGUUUAUAGUGGGGUAAUCUGAUUAAAUUCUGUUUUGGAUGCUGGCUGAGCAUGAAGGCGUUAUAGCACUUCGGUGAUAAGACCUUAAUAAACUUUAAGCAAUGGCAACAUAAGCGAUAAAGAAGGAUCAUUCUAAAAAAUGACAUUCUGCAUUCAUGCAAACAUCAUUCAUACAUGUCUAGUUAGGAGCAUUUGACUCACUUUGAUCAUGGCAUCCCAAUCAUUAGGCAUAAUUAGGUUCAUGCAGGUCUUGUUCCCUAGAGAAUAGACCAUUGGAAAUAGCAAAUCUUGUCUCCCUAAACAGUAGUGGAGCAGAUCGAGGACAGCAAAUCUUAUAUUCCUAAGAUAGUAAUGAAGCAGAUUCAAGCCACCGGUCCUAUCUCCCUAAGCAGCAGUGGAGUAGGUUGAAUAUUGUAGAUCCUGUCUCCCUAAGCAGUAGUGGAGCAGAUCGAAGACGGCAAAUCUUAUCUUCCUAAGAUAGUAGAGAAGUAGAUUUAAGCCACCGGUCCUAUCUCCCUGAGUAGCAGUGGAGUAGGUUGAAGAUUAUAGACUCUGUCUCCCUAAGCAGUAGCGGAGCAGGUCGAAGACGGUGAAUCUUAUCUUCUUAAGAUAGCAGUGAAGCAAAUUUAAGCCACCAAUCCUAUCUCUCUGAGCAGCAGUGGAGUAGGUUGAAGAUUGUAGAUUCUGUCUCCCUAAGCAGUAGCGGAACAGGUCGAAGACGGUGAAUUUUAUCUUCCCAAGGUGGUAGGAAAGCGAAUUUAAGCCACCAGUCCUAUCUCCCUGAGCAGCAAUGGAGUAGGUUGAAGAAUGUAGAUACUGUUUCCCUAAGCAGUAGUGGAGCAGAUCAUGAAUCUUAUCUUCCCAAGGUAGUAGGGAAGCAGAUUUAAAUCACUAGUCCUAUCUCCCUGAGUAGCGGUGGAGUAGGUUGAAGAUUGCAGAUCAUGUCUCCCUGAGCAGUAGUGGAGCAGAUCUAAGACAGAGAAUUUUAUCUCUUUGGCAUUACAGUGGAACAUAUUAAAGCUACAACAGCGAAUCUUGUUCCCCAGACAUUACAGUUAAAUAGAUUGAAGUUACAACAACAGAUCUUAUUUUCCUAGCAUUGCAAUGGAACAGUUGAAGCUACAAGUCUUAUCCCCAUAAAGUUACAGUGGAGGCAGACAGAAGAUGACGAAUCCUAUCUCCCUGACAUUGCAGUGGAGUGGAUCGAAGUAGCAACUCCUAUACCCUUGAAAAUAGUAGGUCGGAGUGAAGAUACUUACCAAAAGAAGUCAAUACUCGACAAGACCGGGCAAAAUUGGCCUUCUUUAGUCUUUGCUCUAUUCUCAUUACACGACAAUGAGUAAAGAGGGGCAGCUGUAAUAGGUCAAUUUAGCCCGGGCUCACAAAAAAAUAAUAAACCCAAAAUAAUAAAAUAAAGUCCAAGUCCAGUCCAAAAUUGUAUCAUUUGGCCCGAUCAGAAUGACCCAUUACUUGAAAAAGGAUAUGCAGUCUUAGAUAUGAUAUGCAAUCUUAGAUAAGAUAUGCAAUCUUAGAAGAUAAGAUUUUGUAAUCUUAGAUAUUUAAUUUGUAGAUACCCUUUAAAUCUUAGCCGUUGAUGAAAUUGAUCUAUACCGUUGGAUUUGGGGAGACUCAACUAUAAAUAGAGGCCUCCCACUUCAUUGUAAAACACUGGAGUUGGGAGCAAUAAUAAUUCUUAAGAGCAUCCACUCAAAGUUCUUCUUCUCUUGCGUUCUUAUUUUCUGUGGCUUGUUCUUAUUUUGUUUUUCGUUCAUCUUCGUUUCUUUUUAAGUUGCUUUCAUUUGAGUUGGAUUUUGGUGGAGGAAUUUCUUUGAAUCUUCAUAUUGUGGGAGUAAGGCUGAUUUAAACAUUUUUUAACCUUUUUUAAUUAUCUAUUUAAUUGUUUAAUCAUUAAUUAUUCUCUUACUUUUAUUUGUUUAUUUAUCUAUCAACUUUCUUAUUUACAUAUUGUUCAUUCAUUUAACCAUUCUUAUCAUUAUAUUGUUCAUUCAUUUAACCAUUCUUAUCAUUCUUUUAUUUUUUCAUUAAUUAUAUAUUUUAUUUGUUUUUAAUAUUAUGUCACACAUGUUGUUUAUUUUUUAAAAACUCGUGUUAUAAAUCAUUCAUUUUAAAUUGUUUGAUUAUUUGCUUUAAAUUUUUUUCCAUAUAUUAUCAAUUGCAAUUUAUUUUUUAUAAUAUCUAUUUUUUCCAUAUUUUGGCCCUCAGUUUGGUUUUAUUCUCAUUUUUGUCCUUUUAAUUCUGUUUUAAAUUCAAUUUAAUCCUCACUAGUUUGAUUUAAUUUGCUUAUGUUUUAUUUAUUUAAGUAUUUAUUAUUAUGUUUUUUCAAAAUUUUGAAUAUGAUGUUAUUUGAAUGUUUAUACUUAUUAUUAAAUUAAUCAUUAAAAUUAUCUAAGUGUAUUGUAUAUUAUUAUUUUAGAUUUAUCAUGUUUUAUUGUUUGUGAUUUAUCAAUAUUAUUAUUUUAAAUUUAUUGUUAACAUUAUUUUAAAUUUAUCAUGUAUAUCUAUUUCAAAUUUAUCAUUAAUAUUUUUAAAUUUAUUAUAUACUAUUAUUUUGAAUCAAGUUUAAUAUAAUUAUAUUAAUAAUAUAUUUUUAUUUUUAAUAUUAUAAUUUUAUUUUAUUAAUAAAUUUUAAUAAUUUAAUUUAAUUUUAAAUAAUGUUCUCAAUAUAUUAUUAAAAAUAUUGAUAUUGAUAUUUUAAUGAUAAAAAUAUAUAUAAUUUAUAAAUAUUCAAUAAUAAAUAUUUUACAGUAUAAAAUAUGGUUAUUUUAAUUGUCAUUCUUCAAUGGUAUUUUCAAUGCAAUCACAGUCCAUUCUCCACAAUCAACAAGGAAAGAUGUUUUAAAUAGGUUAGACUUCAAAGUCGAGCUUGCAUAUAUUUGGAAUACUAACCUCAUUUAAUGUCUAAAAAAAUUAUAUCAAUAAAUCGCGAACAUCAAAUAUAACGAGUAUAAAAUUGUUGCGAGGAUUAUAGAGGUGACUACUUCUGAUAGGCAACCCAAAAACUUGACUCAACAAAUUUUAAUAUCUAAUCUAUUAUUUGAUUUCUUUUAAAUUUUUAUUUAUUAAAUUUAAAUAUUGAACAUAUUUCAACAUAUGAUUAUUUGUUUUGGACUUUAAUAAUAAUACUUAGACUUAAAAAGACUGAAACAUCAGCAUUAAUAAGAAGAACAAGACUUCAACAAAGUGGUUGAUCAUAGUUUUCAUGCAUUAAUGAUAUCGCAAAAAGACUUCAACAGUUGCAUCUGCACGCAAUGCCCAAGACUAAAGAUUAAGGCCAACAAUAUUUAUAUUUGCUUUUUUAAUGACUUCAACUCAUGCAGUAAUGAGGAGGCAAAAGACUUGAACAUUUGCUUGCAUGACUAAUCUCUCAUACUAUUAGUCAUAGUUUCAACACUUAAUUAGAAUAGUUUAAAGUUUAGAUACUAAUUUAGAUCUGAUUCAUAGUUUGAGGCAAAUCAAUUGAAACAUAUAGAAUAAAGAUGAAGCAAAAAGACGAAAAUAUCAUAAUUAAUAUGACUGAUAGGAUACAAAUAUUUUAAUCAACAGAGUACAAAUUCUGAUAAUUUUUAGAUUUGAAUAUUUUAAUUAUUAUCUAUAAUGAAUUUGGAAUAGCUGUAAAUAUUAAUAUUUGAAUUUACGGUAUUCAAAUUAGUUUUAGUUUUAAUCACUAGAGUUAGGUGAGAUAUAUAGUAAGGAUCUUUCUUACCUUAAUCCGUGGUUGAGGGUUUGAUCCUCGCAUUAAGUAUGAAGCAACUUUAAAGCUCAUGGCAUCUACUCCCUAAAUGGGCUUACAAAAUGCAAAUAUUUACUUACCGACUAGAUCUUGAGAAAUAUAUUUUUUUGGUUUUAUAAAUAAUGGAGUAGAAUUUCGGAAUCAAUUAACUACUUUACUUUUAAAAUUUAAGAUAAAUUCUUUAUUUUAAAUUUGAAUAACAAUACUAUGAUUUAAUCCACAUAAUAAAUGGUUUUAAAUUGAAAGCAAACAUAUGGAGUGAACUUCAAAUAUUAUAAGAAAAGUGCCAAACAUUGUGCAAAUGAAAGCAAUUCCUCAAACCAAACCAUUAUUGACUCUUUUUAGUCUUUAGUUUCAUUGUGUUUCUAUUGAUUUGAUACACUUUGACAAGUUCAUUGAAAAGUCACCAACAAAAUUUAGUCUUUGAGCCAUCAAUCUCUCUCAACCAGUUAAGAAAAUCACCACAAUUCCUUUACUUUUUUAUGAAUUGACUAAAAUGAAUUGGUAGAAACAUUAUUUUCAUGCAGUACUGAUGGGGAUAAGACUAAGAUUAAUAGUAUUUUAUUCUUAUACUAAGACUUAGUCUAAGGCCAACAAUAUAUUUUACUAUUAUUUAGUUAAAAGUUUUUGAAGUUUAGAGAUAAAUUUAGAAUUCAACUUAUAAUUUGGGGUGUUAAAUUUAAUUAAACCCUUUAAUAGAUCACAACAUAUUUAUAAGUUUGGUACUGCUUCAUAAAUUAGGACAUAAAAGCACUAUAUUAAAAUUAAUUUCGUAUAUAAAUUAAUUCUUUUGGGUGUUAUACCAAAUUUAAUUAAAAAAUUUUAAUAGUAAUUUUUAUUAAAAAUUAAAUUAUGUAAGAAUAAUUAUAUAUAAUCUAUAUCUAUAUACCUAUAUAUAAAAAUUGGUUUCUACCUUCUUUCUUUUUACAUGUGGCAUACCCAAUCAUUUUUCCUUUUUUUUUUAAAUUUACAUUUUACAAAAAAAUUAAAAUUAAAAUUUAGUUUCUUUAAUAUGCCUAAAUUUGAGAUUUAAUCUAUACUUUAUUUUUUAACAUAAUUUAGGCACUAUAUUUUUAUAAUGUAAUAGAUUAGUCCUUACACGUGGCACAUCCAACCAUUUUUGUUGUCCUUUCCUUUAUCCUUUUUUUUUAAUUUUACAAUAAAAUGUUAAAUUUCAGUUUCAAUCCCUCUAAUAUGUCUAAAUUUGAGAUUUAAUCUAUAUACUUUAAUCUUUAACAUAAUUUGGGCCCUACAUCUUUAUAAUGUUAUUAAUUAGUCCAAAUUAUUAAUAUGAUUAACUUUUCGGUGAAACAUUACGUGGUUAUUGAUAGUUUGCAUACAUAAGAGUCUUAGAGACUGACACAUUACUUUCCAUUUCUUUUAGGUUUGCAUCGCUUUUUUGUAAGCUAUACUGAAACUUAAUAUUUAAUCUAUAUAUUUAAUUUUUGAUAUAAUUUAGUUCAUCUACUUUUGUAAUGUAAUUAGCUAGUCAAAAUAGUUAAUGUUGUUGGUUAUUUCUAUCAAAAUGCUAAUGUCAAUUUUUCUUAAAAACAAUAUGUUUCUGAUAGGAUUUUUUUUUUAUCGUGGCGAUGUGAAUGAGUGUUUUUAAGAAAAGUCUUUAUAAAAUAUUUUAAAAGUUAUUUUUAUUGUUACAUGACUACCAAUUGAUUUUUUUUUAAUUUCAAAAUAUCACCUCAGAGAAUUUAAUAGAAGAAUUUUAAUGAUAGUAUAAUUGAAUCAAAAAUUUUAAAUUUUAAAAGUAGAAAAUCAUAUUUCUAAAAAUAAAAAUAGAGAAGCGAAAUUCUAAAUGUACAAAAUAGAGAGAAUUAAAAUAUAUUUUAACCUUCAAAUAUUUUACUCUAUAAUUAUAUAUUUUUACUCUAUAAUUCUCACUUCCACUUUAUCUUUGUUAAUUUCCUACUUAUUUCUAUUUUUUCUUUUGCUUAUGAAUCUAAACAGAGAAAAAAAAGGACAAAAAAAAGAAAGAAAUGAAUAGUAUGAAUUAAAAUUUGAGAUUUGAUCCCUAUUAAAAAUUAAAAAUUUAUUGUUUCUAUUUUUUUUAAUUUAAAAAUCAUAGCUAAAUCCUUCUACACGUAAUUUAAAAUUUUUGUGCAUUCAAUCAUCAGAAUUUCCACUCCUUGUGCCCAUCGGUUCAUCUCAAAUCACCUAAGAAACUUGCUAUAAUUUGUUUUUAUAAUGACUUAUACAAAUCGGUUGAACAUUGAUUUCAUGCAGUAGUGGUCCACCAAGAAGACUUAGGGUAAUUUUGGAUAGGUGGUGUAUUUAUUUGCUGUUAGUCUAAAAAUAGCGAUAACGGUAAGAUUAGAUAUUGUAACGAUACUGUAACAUGAGAUAAAAAAUAAGCUAAAUGCAUCGCACCGCACCGCCCAUCCAAAUCCACCCUUAGACAUUAACAUGCAUGCCAAAACAAUUAAGACUAAGGCUAAUAAAAUCUCAUAUUAUCAUUUUUUUUGUUAGUCCAAAAUAAAAAAAAUAUUAAAAAAAUCUAAGUUAGACAAUUAUUGAUAAUUUAAGGACUUAAUUGAAAUAUUUUUAAAAUUUAGAUAUUAAUUUAUAAUUUAAUCCAUUAUUCAGGGGGAAAAGAUCAGAACCUUGGAAUAUUAUUCAUACAGAAUAAAGAUGCAGAAAAAAGAAUGGUCUUCAUUUCUUUCGUUCUUUAUCAUUUUAAUUAACUUUAAGGAAGCUUCAAAGUAAAAAUUUAAAUAUGUUUCUUCCCAAGAAAUUAUAUUAACAACUUAAUGUAAAUAAUGAUUUGAAUAUUGGAAUUAAUUAUUAAGUAAAAUAAUAAUGUUGUAUGGAAACUACAAAUUUAUGUAUAAAUGUGUUGCAUGAAAACCAUCCUCCUUCAUACCCAAUCAACAUGAAGACUCUUCAGUCCAUUGUUUCACUUUUUCUACCUUUCUUCUUUCUCUUCUCAUCCUUUCUUUCUCAAACUCAUCUCCUAAUGCAGUGCCUUAAUAAAUAAGUUGUAUGCCAAACACAAUCCUCCUUCACACCCAUCCAACAUGAACACUUUUCGUUUCCUUAUUUCACUAUUUCUCUUAUCAUGCAUCUUUCCUCUUCUCUUGUCUUUUUUACCUCUUCAAACUAAUCUCCCAAUGCAUUAAUGCCUUGAUGACUAGAUAUCUCCUAUGCUGCAAUUGCAACAUCAUCUUUACUAUGCCCCUAAUUUUCAUUUCUCUUCCAAAUUUGAGCUAUGUGAUGUCAACACUGAUUGUUGUUCUUGGGAAGGAGUCACUUGUGAUGCUUAUGGUCAUGUCGUUGGCAUUGAUGUUAGUUACAAAAACCUUUCUGGUAUCUUCCACUCAAUAUUCGAUCUCCAUCAUCUUCAACACCUGAAUCUUGCUGAAAACAACUUUAAUACCACUUUGCAUUCUUAUGGGUUUGUGUUGAAGUUGGCCUGCAUGCAGCCAAGAAGUAGAGAAGCACCCUGAGCCAUGAAUGUUGCAAUUGAAGAUGGUGCUGUUUUUUUGUUUAGUUUUGUUACUUUAAUUAACAUUUUGUAACUUAGUUAGAUUCAAACCAAGUUGUUAAUGUACUUGAUGUGUUUGUCAAUGUUUUGAGUUGAUAAACCAGCUUCACUAAGUGUGCAAGUUAUGUUUCAUUAGUUUCAAGGUUACUUAGUGGCAGUAGGUAAUGUUUAGGUAACAAUAUGCUUAUUUUUAACUAGCUUAUGUCUGGUAUAUGUAUUGGCAUUGUGCCAUCCUUCAAUGCUAAUGAAAAUUCAUCAAAAUUCAUCAUAAAAUUUCCUUUUCUUGCUUUCUUUUGUCUUUCAAGCCCGAUUCUAUUUUGUUUGCUCAGCAGGUAUCAAGCCUUCAAGCUCAAGAAAUUGCUAACUUCAUUCAUUUCACAUUCUUAGUUCCAACAAUUGGUAUCUAGAGCUCAUCUUCUUAGUGGACCUGUCAUUUUUCAUUCCUCAAAACUAUGUCUUCUUUAGGUUCUCUCCAGCUGCACCACCAGUCUUCAAUGGAGAAUGCUACCACAUUUGGGUAGUAAAGAUGAAAACCUACCUGCAGGCAUUCGACUUAUGGGAAGUGGUUAACUCGGAUGUUGAACCAGCACCUCUAAGAGUCAAUCCCACAGUGGCUUAGAUCAGGCAGCACAUAGAUGAAAGAACUAAGAGACACAAGGCCAUGUCUUGCAUCCAAAACAGUGUGUCUGAUGUGAUUUUCACAAGGAUCAUGGUUUGUGAGUUACCAAUAGGCCUGGGACAGGCUGAAGGAGGAGUUUCAAGGGACUGAAAGAAUGAGACAACAAUAAUUAGUAAUUUGAGAAGGGACUUUGAAAUUUGAAGAUGAAGGAAGAAGAAAUAGUGAAGCAAUAUUCAAAUAGAAUUAUGGUUGUUGUGAACAGUAUCAGAUUGCUCGGGGACCAGUUUAGUGAAGCAAGAAUUAUAGAGAAGGUUAUCUCAACCUUGCCUGAAAGAUAUAAAGCCAAGAUCUCAUCCCUUGAAGACUCGAAAGAUCUGAUUAGCAUCUCGUUGACUAAGUUGAUUAAUGCUCUUUAUGCUUAAAAGCAAAGAAGAGCCAUUAAACAUGAAGAGCAUAAAAAAUGUGCAUUCCAAGCUAAAAGUAGACUUGCCUCGAGCUCCUCUAGCUAUAAAUGGAAGAAGACCUAGAAAGAAUGUCUAGAAGAGAUGGAGUAAGAAAAAGAUAUCCACCUUACCCACAUUGCAAAAGGCUUAGUCAUCAGGGAGAAAACUAUUGGUUCAAGUCUAAUGUGCAGUGCAAAGUCUGCAAAAAGAUGGGCUAUGCUGAGAAAGUUUGCAGAAACAAAGGCAAGUUGAGACAAAACCAACCUCAACAGCCAAGAGCUGAAGCUCAAGUGGCAGAAGAAGGUAGUGACCAAGAAGAGCAAGCUUUUGUUGUUUCAUGCUCGACUGCCAAAAGAAAAGCCACAAAAGAAUGGCUGAUAAACAGUGGUUGCACAAACCACAUGACUCCUAAUGCUGCUAUUUUCAAGACCUUAGAUAGAACCUUCAACACAAGGGUGAAAUUUGACAAUGGACACUUCAUCAAAGUAGAAGGCAAAUUGGAUGUGCUGAUUGACACUCUUACAGGUAUCAAACUUGUUUCAAAUAUCUUGUUUGUGCCUGAAAUUGAUAGAAAUCUGUUUAGUAUGGCUCAGUUACUAGAAAAGGACUAUUCAGUAAAGCUCAAAGGCAAAGAAUGCCUGAUUAGUGAUCCAUGUGGAUCAAAACUAAUGUCAGUGACCAUGGCUGACAGAAGUUUUGUUGUGGACUGGAACAAGGGUUCUGACAGUGCCUAUACAGCUGCUUUGGAUGAACCCAAGCUAUGGCAUAAGAGGCUAGGCCAUGUCAACUACAAGUCACUGCCUCAGCUAACCAAAGAAGACUUGGUUGAAAACUUCUCCAAAUCAGUUAAGAAAGAAGAAGUGUGUGAAGUGUGUCAGCUAGGAAAGUGAGCUAGACUGCCAUUUCCUUUGAACAAGGCUAGGAGAGCCUUUGAAAAAUUGCAACUAGUCCACACUGAUCUGUGUGGCCUUAUGAAGACACAAUCUUUGAAUGAAAAUAGGUAUUUUAUCAUUUUCAUUGAUGACUACUCAAGAUAUUACUGGAUUUACUUCCUAAAGGACAAAUCAGAAGUGGCCUUAGUAUUCUGGAAGUUCAAGGCUGUAGCAGAAACAGAAACAGGUUGCAAGCUAAAGACAUUGAGGUCAGAUAAUGGGACAGAGUAUACCUCAGCUAUGUUUCAGGGCUUUUGUGAUGAAGCAGGUAUCAAGCACCGACUCACCAACACCUACACACCUCAACAGGAUAGUGUUAGUAAAAGAAAGAAUAGAAGCUUGAUGGAUAGGGCAAGAUGUCUAUUGUUUGAGAGAGAUUUUCCCAAAAUCUUGUGGGCUGAGGUAGUUAACACUGCUGUAUAUCUUCAAAAUAAGUUACCAACCAAGGCAUUGGUUCAUAAAACUCUAUUCGAGGCCUGGUUUGGGUUCAAACCAUCAAUUGCUCACCUGAAGGUCUUUGGAUGCAUAUGCUAUGUACAUGUCCCAGCAGUAAAAAGAGAAAAGUUGGCCAAGAAGGCUCAACUUGGCAUGCUGGUGGGCUAUAGCAGUGUCAAGAAAGGCUAUAGGGUCUUGGCCCCAUCAUCCAAUGAAGUUUUCGUGAGCAGAGAUGUAGUAUUUGAUGAGAAGUGAGGUUGGAAAUGGGAUAAAAAUGAACCAGAGACUGCUGCUGAAGACCUAGCGACAAAUCAAGCUGAAGCUGAUCGAAAUUAUCCUGAAAUGGGCAUUGAUGAUGUGCCAGUUAGAGGAACCAAACCAUUGGCUAAAAUAUAUAAGACGACUGAUGUGGCUGCUAUUGAACCAAAUUGUUUUGAAGAGGAUGAAGCUCAACAAGGUUGGAAACAGGCAUGCUUGAUGAAAUGAGCAUGAUUCACAAGAAUAAAACCUGGGAGGUCGUUGCAAGACCAGCCAACAGGAAGGUUAUAGGAGUGAAGUGCGUGUUUCGAGCCAAGCAUAAAGCUGAUGGAACUUUGAACAAGCUGAAAGCAAGAUUGGUAGUGAAGGGAUUCAGUCAAAGGUAUGGCAUUGAUUACCUUGAAACUUUUGCACCUAUGGCCAAGUUUGACACAAUUAGACUGCUGGUUACCUUGGUUGCACUAAAUCAUUGGAAGAUUCAUCAACUCGAUGUAAAAUCUGCCCUCCUCAAUGGUUUUCUUGAUGAGGAGAUAUAUGCUGAACAAUCUGAUGGUUUCAUAAAAAAUUAUAAUAGUUUUUGCAUAAUAUAAAUUUUAGAAUUUUUUAUGAAUAUUUUGAUUUUAAAAAUUAUUUAAUUUUUUUUUGUAAUUUUUGUUGAGAGAUUAAUUUGUUAAUUUUUAAAAUUGACAGGAAUCAAAGAAGUAUAUAUAUCAAUCUGUUGUUCGAAUUAUUUGAGUUAUUUAAAUUAUUAAAUUCAACUCAAAUUUCGAAUUAUUAAUAUUUUAAUAAUAUAAAACAUUAAAAAUAUUAAAAUUAAAUAAAAAUUAAAUAAUAAUAUAGAAAUGAAAAUAUUUCUCACGCUCUAAGAAAGUUUGAAAGCUGAAAUUUAAAUAUGUCUCUUUCAAAAGUGAAAAAUUCUAUAUAUUCUAUCAUCAAAAUUUCCACUCAUUGUGUCCAUUAAUUUAUAAGGUGACUUGACUUGUACACAUUGGUUGAACGUUGUUUUUGUGCAAUAAAAACUUGGACAUUUGCAUGCAAUGCCCAGGACUUAAGAAUUAAAAUACCUAUAAUAUUUCAUACUAUCAUUUUUUCUAGUCCUAAAUUAAAGAUUUUAAAAAUUCCAAAUUAAAACGUAAUUUGAGAACUUAAUUAAAGCAUUGUAAAGUUUAUGUGUCAAUUUAAAAUUUGAUGUAUAAUUUUGCGAUGUGAGGAGAAUUAACCAUUUGAUAAAUCAUUACAUAUUUACAAGUUGGAUACUCAUUAACAAAUUGAUUUUAUAUUAUACGUUAAAAUUUAUAUUUUUGGUGCUAUAACAAAAUUUACUUAAAAAAUUAAAUUGUAAUUUUUUAUUUAAAAAAAUUAAAUGAUGUAGAAAUAAUUAUAUAUAACAUAAAAAUGAUAAAAUUUACCUGAGUUUAAAAUAAUUUAAAGUUAAAAUAUUUGUAACAUGGAUUUUUUUUUCUAAAAAAUCGAUACCUAAAAUAUAUAAUUUAAACUUAAAAUAUCAGUUGAAUUAUCAUCUUUGCUCAUCCUAUGCGUAGUAAUGAUUCCAAUAGGGUUUAAAGUGCUAUAAUUUAGUCUUUUUUAAUGACUUAGAUUUAGACGAUUCUUUAUAGAGAGUAAGGAGUGGGCAAGAAAACUACAACCUUGGCAUUGAUAAGUUAAUGAGAUCGAUAGAAUAUUAAAAUCUCAUUCUUCAAAAUUAAAAUUAACAAAAAAGAAAGACGUAAGGCAAAUUAGGGGUGAAUUUAACAACUUAUUUCUAAUACUAAAAAUAAAUAAUUUAUGCAUAAUCACUAACAGCUUUAAAUAAUACUUGAUGGAGUCUUUAUUUGGCAAAAUGACUUAGAAAUUGCAUGCAAUGCCAAUCACUCAUAAACAUUGUUCUAUGGAAACUACACACUUGUGUAUAAAUAAGUUGUAUGCCAAACACAAUCCUCCUUCACACCCACCCAACAUGAACACUCUUCAUUUCCUUAUUUCACUCUUUCUCUUCUCAUGCUUCCUUCCUCUUCUCUUGUCUUUUUCACCUCCUCAAAACUCAUCUCCCCAUGCAAUGCCUUGAUGACCAGAGAUCUCCUCUGCUGCGAUUGCAACAUCAUCUUUACUAUGCCCCUCAUUUUACUUUCUCUUCCAAAUUUGAGCUUUGGCAACCCAACACUGAUUGUUGCUCUUGGGAAGGAGUCACUUGUGAUGCUUAUGGUCAUGUCGUUGGCAUUGAUCUUAGUUACAAAAACCUCUCAGGUAGCUUUCACCCCAUAUUCAAUCUCCAUCGUCUUCAACGCCUUAAUCUGACUGGAAACAACUUUAAUACCACUCUGUUUUCCUAUGGGUUUGAUAAACUCCAAAAUCUAACUCAUCUCAACCUUUCAAGCUCAUGUUUCCAUGGCCAAAUUCCAGUGGAGUUCUCAUUCUUAAAAAGGUUAGUCUCUCUUGAUCUAUCCAAUCAAUAUUCUUGUUAUUUGAGAUACUACGAAGUUCUCUACCCUGGCUUCUACAACUAUUUUUCAUUGCCUUACGAACUUCAACAGCCUCUUAAAUUAGAGAAUCCAAACUUCAAGACAUUAAUCAAGAAUUUGAGGUUUCUCACAGAGCUUUAUUUGGAUAGUGUGGACAUUUCAACUCAAAGUGCUAAAUGGUGUGAAACCACAUCUCUUGUACUUCCAAACCUGCAUGUGUUGAGUCUGUCAAGCUGUGCUUUGAAAGGUCCAUUAUGUUCUUCACUCCCAAGACUCUCUUUUCAAAACUUAUCCUUGAUUGGAACCCAAUCUCUUAUUUACCUCCCAAUUUCUUGGAAAUUUCCUCUCGUUUGGUUUCUCUCAGUUUGAGGAACUGCAAUUUGAGUGGCCAUUUCCAACUGAAAAUCUCUUAUCGCCAAAAAUGCAAAGCAUUGACAUUUCAGAUAAUGACUUUCUUAAUGGUCAGUUGCCAGAAUUUCCAGCAAACAAUGCUUUACAGAGUUUGUCGCUUUUUUAUACAAAUUUCAGUGGAAAACUACCCCAAUCAAUUGGUAAUCUCAAGUUCUUGACUAAUUUAGAUCUUGAUGGUUGCAACUUUUUUGGACCCAUUCCAUCGUCAAUUGCAAAUCUUAGUCACCUGGUCAACCUAGAUCUAGGAGGGAACAAGCUUUCUGGAUCAAUACAUUCUUCUUUAUUUACUCUUCCAUCGUUGAAGACCUUGUAUCUUGGAGAAAAUCAAUUGGUUGGGAAAAUUGAUGAGUUCCCCAAUGCAUCUUCUUCUUUGAUUGAAGUACUGUAUAUAGGCAAUAAUUAUUUAAGAGGAGCAAUCCCAAAGUCAAUUCUUCAACUUCCAAGGCUUGAAUGGAUUUAUAUCGAAAGCAAUAGCUUUAGUUCCAUGAAGCUUGACAUGUUUGUCCAAGUCAAAAACUUAAGGACUCACUGGCUAAACAAAAUAAGCUUGUUAAUUGAAAGCGACAACAGAAGUCUUACUUUUCCCCAAUUAGAGAGCCUAAGCUUAUGGUCAUGCAACCUUACUGAAUUUCCAGAAUUCAUUAAAAGGCAAGACAAGUUGGUUGACUUAGAUCUUUCUAACAAUCAUAUCCAUGGUGUUGUGCCUAAUUGGUUGUGGAAGAGCAGUCUUUCAUCCCUACACCUUCCUUUCAAUGUGAUUGAUUUUCCAAAACAGCUUCCCUUAAAUGAUUCAAACUUCUCAUUUCCAAUGUUGACAGAAUUGGAUUUGAGAUCCUGUAACAUAAGUGCGUUUCCAGAGUUCUUAAAGAGUCUAGAAAAUAUAAUAUUUCUCGACCUUUCAAAUAAUAAAAUAAGUGGUGCAAUACCAAACUGGGCGUGGAAGAAAAGUUUGCGGUAUCUGUAUCUUGCUAAUAACCAUCUCUCAUCUUUGGACCAACUUUUACCCAAUCAGAGUUCAACUUCUUCACAAACCUCCUUGACUAGACCUAUUUGCAAUUUGAGUCAACUUAGAAAUUUCAAUGCAUCUCAUAACAAUUUGAGCGGCACGAUUCCAAAUUGCUUAGGCGAAAUGAAUGAUCUCCUAUUGUUGGAUCUGCAAGGAAAUAACUUCAGUGGAAUGUUACCAAAAUUUUCAAAAGCAACCCACUUAUAUAUUCUCAAAGUUAGUGAGAAUAGAUUGGAAGGGAAGUAGCCCAGAUCAUUAGCUGAAUGCACUCAGCUUGAAGUUUUAGACGUGGGAAACAACAAGAUGAAGGAGAAAUUGCCUUACUUGACGGUUCUAAUAUUGCGGGAAAACAGAUUUUAUGGUCAAAUUAAACAUAGAUUUGUUUUCCCAACUUUGGAUGUAUUGGACAUUGCUUCAAACCAGUUUUCUGGUGAACUAUCCAUUGAUUUCCUUCAACCCACUCGACUAAGGUCACUCAAAAUAGGUGGGAAUAAAUUAGAAGGGAAGUUGUCGAGAUCAUUAGCCAAUUGUAAAGCACUUGAGGUUCUGGACCUUGGAAAUAAUAUGGUUCAUGAUACAUUCCCAUUUUGGUUAGAGAAGCUGCCUUCCUUGAAGGUUGUCAUUUUGCGAGCAAGCAGAUUCUACGGCACGAUUACAAAAUUCAACACAGAACGUGGGUUUCCAAAGCUACGCAUAUUGGACAUUGCUUCCAACAAUUUUUCAGGCGACUUGUCCAUUGAAUUUUUGCAAAGCUUGAAGGCAAUGAUGCAGUUAACAAAUGAAGACAAAGCUAAGCUGGAUUACAUUGGGGAGAAUUAUUAUCAAGAUUCAGUGACAAUUUUCAACAAAGGGAUUGAGCUGUUUUACGAGAAAAUCUUAACCACUCUUACUUGUCUUGACCUUUCCAACAAUAGUUUCCAUGGGAGAAUACCAGAAGAAAUACAAAUGCUGAGGUCACUCAAAGUGCUAAACUUGUCCUAUAAUAGCUUCUCCGGUGAAAUCCCAGUAGCAGUUCAAAACCUAAAAGAUCUGGAGUCUUUGGAUCUGUCACAGAAUGAGCUAUCAGGGAAGAUUCCUCCACAGCUUGCAACAACUUUCCUAGAGGCACUGAACUUGUCUUACAACCCACUUGAAGGGAGCAUACCGCAAGGCAACCAAUUCAGUACAUUUUCAAAUGAUUCUUAUCGUGGGAAUCCAAAAUUAUACGGUCAACCAUUGUCCAAGAAAUGCAAUGAAGACGGUCUUCCAGUGCCACCGCCUCCAGGGGAAGAGGAACAGUCAUGGUUAUAUGCUAUGUCAACUUGGAAAAUUGUUUUGAUAGGUUAUGGUAGUGGUAUGGUCGCUGGGCUAUGUAUCGGAUAUACAGUGUUGAAUGAGUUGGGAAACAAAUGGGUUGACAAGUUCAAAAAACAUGGGAAAAGAAACAGAAGAAGAUCUAGGUGAUUGUGUCGGAAUUCAUGUAUUAAAGUCAACAGGUAAACAUUUCCUUUUGAAACUAUAGUCUUUAUAUUUUGAAACGAUUGAUGUUACAAACUAAUUUUGGAUCAUACAACACUGCAAUUCCUUAAUUUAAGUAGCAGGAGUGGUUACACAGUGAUUUUGUUUUUCCUAUGCAAUAUUCCUAUAUUUGCAUGCUUAUGAGAAGUUAUAUUCUUGGUGGUUUGACUUGUGUUUCUUAUUUUGUCACAGGGAAAUGACCUCUGUCCUUCUAAGCUUCAAGUCAUUGCAUGUAAUUGGUGGCAAUGAAUCAUUUCAAGUAGAAAACCACGCAAAGUAUGAUAAAUUUUGUCUUUUUUGUUUGGGUUUUUGUGCUAUAUAUUUUAUCAAACACAUGAUGGGCUUUAGGCUCGGGUGUAAUGGGUAGACCUAUUGGUCCGGGUUUUAGUGCAAUCUGACAUUUAUUUUGUACAAAUAAUUUAUUUAUCUUUUAAUAACAGUUUUAUUAUUUUAAAAAUAAGUAAAUAAAAUAUAAUGAAAAAUUAGAUAUCUUAAAAGAUGUCCGUUUCCGGAGUUGGCAAACUAUGUAAAACACUAUAAAUAUGAUAGCUUAUUCAAAUGAUUCUCCCAUUAUGAAACAUUUAAACGAAUUUACAAAAAUGAAAUAUUUAUUUACAAGAAAUAAAAAUUAGCCAUGUUAUGCAUAUGAAAAACAUAAUAAUUGCAAGUGAAAUGAGAAGCUUCAUAUUCUAAUUUUCAGGCCAACAGUCUGAGAAGAAAGCAUAGAUUGGUAGAAGAAAGCAUAUGGUGAAAAGGGUAAUCCCAAAACCGAUUUGCUGCACUCGAGGUUCUCUUACAUGUAGUUUGUAUCAUACGUGGAUGGUUGGAUCUUAUUAUAUUAGGAUUUAGUUUACCCAACUAUGAACUUCUACUUUAAACACAUUAAUCCUAUUCUAAAUUGGUGUCGAAACCAUUUUUAAAUUUGAAAAAUGGGAAUCGAUUUUGAAAAAUUGAGAUUGGAGUUGCCACCGAUCUUUUAUUGAGGUGUGAUCGGAUCACCUUGAAAAUAAUUUUAGGUCUGCGAAUUUUGAGAAAAUAGGUUCGAGAUUCGGUUACGCACGGGGAAGGGUUAGCACCCUUGUGACGCCCAAAAUUGGUACCAAAUCGAUUGUUUAAUGUACCAAAUCGAUUGUUUAAUGUCUUAGUGUCAAAAAUUUGAAACGAUUUUAAAAUACGAUCCUUUGAAAAGAAAAUUUGAAUGAAAUAAAUUGGAUGAUGAGGCUCUCUUCUUUCAAAGAAAUAAAUUGUCACACUUAGUAAGUUAGAGUGCAACAUUUUAAAUCCUAGAAAUUAAGUUCAUCUUUUGACUUUUAAAACCUAUGCAUUUUGAGAAGGAUAUCUGAUUAUUUGGGUCAAAUGAGAAAAUCAAAACCCAGUAAGUUAGGGUUCGAUUUCACAAAAUUUCUAAAUAUCGAAUAUUGCCUUUAUUUCCAUUUGUUAGAAGAAUCCUCGUCUUAAGAAAACAAUAUGUCAUAUCCAAUGCGUUAGGAUACCACGUAUCGAAUUCCCGAGAAUGAGCUUUUUAUUUAUGUUUUAGUUAAAAAGGAUAUUUGGUCUCUUAGAUCCCGAGGAAGAUUGGAAUCCUGUAAGUUAGGACACAAUCUUUUCAAGGAUCCCAAAUUCCGAGUGUUGCGUUAUUUUGAAAGCUUUUUGAAUAAAAAUGCUUUUGAUAUUUAAAUAAUAUGAAACAUAAUCUUUUGAACAAAUAAAAACAAUGAAAUAAUAACGUACACACGAAAUGGUGAUUUGUAAAUAACAUACAUUAAUGAAUAACAAAUAAUCAAUAGGUAAAUACAAAUAAACAUAGUAACAAUAAUCUCAAUCAUACAUUAUGCCAAUGCUAAUAAUAUCGACAUUCAAAGAUUAAAUGAAUUAUCAAUACAAAAAAAAAAAGUGUUAUAUGUGUAAAAUGUUAAAAUAAACAAUAUACAUAUAUGAGUUUAAAAUAAGUCAAAAAUGAAGAUAAAAAAAAUACUAUAAAAAUAAUAUCAAAAUGAAGUUUAAAAUGAAUAUUGUAUAUGAAGAAAAUCAAAGUACAUGAAAUAAUAUAUGCAUAUUAAUUUAAAUAAUAUUACAUAUGGAUUGGAAAAUUUCUUAUGAUAAUAUAAUAUAAUAGUAUGUAUAAAAGGUUGAUAUAAAUCAAGUAUAUAAUGAAAUAAAAUUUUAAAUGAAACCAGUUAUAUAUGUAAUAAGUAAAAAAUGUAAAUAUGAAAUUGACGAUACAUUAGGUAUAUACGUAUAAUAAAAAAAAAAACUUAAUACAAAUUUUAUAUAGAUAUAAUAGUAUUACAUAAAUAUGUUAUUGAUUUUUAAAGCAUAAAAGUAUAUAUGAAUAAACAUUUUAAGAAAAAAGUAUUAUAAAAAUAAACUCAUUAAUUAAAAUGUAUAAUAAUAUAGUUAACAUAAAAUAUAUACUAAUGCAUUAGAAUAGACAGUAUGUAAUAAAAUAAAAUAGUGUAUAUAUAUAUAUAUGAAAAUAAGUAAAUAUAUAAACUAAUAUGAUAAUAAUACCAAUAAUAACAACAAUAAAGAUAAUAAACUAAACAAUUUUAGCAAUAAUAACAAAACAGAGGACAAAAUUGGCAUUAAAGCAGUAAUUCAGGGGAGAAAUCUAAAAUAAAUAAAAAGAAAGGUCCAAAUUACAAAGAGCAAAUGACAUGGGGGACUGAAAGGGGAAUAUUCCCCACCCUCCAAAACGCAGCGUUGCAUAUGGACCUAGAUGAAAUCUGCAACAAAUUAUGCUACCCAAAAUUAAAGAAACUUAAAGGAUCGAGUUGGAACACAACGCGAAGUAAGAAGGACCGAGCACGCAAUUAUCCCUCUCCAUACCAAAACGCGCAGAUCUAGCCACGGUUGGAUCGGGUCAUCGGGUAUGGUCGUUAAACGGCGUCGUAUUGUUUGCUGUACAAAUUAAAAUCGAAGAAAAUCAAAUCGAAAUUCCACAAAACUAGAGGGACUCGUCGUGAAAAUAGACCAAUGAACAGAAGCACGCGGAUCCUGCCCCGAGUCGGGUCACCACGCGAUUUUGAACUUCCCAACGGCAUCGUUUUUAAAGCUACAUGGCCUGCUUAAAACGCUGUCGUUUCUUUCACCGUACAAAGGCUAAAAUAAACCUAAAACUAAUCAGCCAUCAGUCAUUUACAAAAAAAAAAAAACCUAAAGAAAAUCUAAAACCUAAGGAUUUCUCCCUGCGCCGCUCAACCUUUCAGAUCCCAUUUGCUCUGAUUACGACGAGAGAAGCAGGGAUUCGACGGUCACGUUAUGCAGGUGGACUCUCAUCCUUCCUCGAUUUCUUUUUUUUUUUAAACAAUGAAUAAAAGAAAAAAAGAAAGCAAAGAAUCGAAAAAGAAAAAAAGAUCGAGAGCCAAAAAAGAAAAUAAUACUCGAAAUCACCUUUAGAAACUGUUUUUCUAUUGCUUUUCAAAAUUUUCUCUCUGAUACACUAUUUGUGUGUGUAAUCCCCUUAUACAGAUUUCAAUCGGCCCUCUUUAUAGCCGAACCGAGAAAAAGAAAGAAAAAAAUCAAAUUUUCUCUAUUUUUUUACAUUUUUCUUCUUAUUUACUACCGGUAUUUACUGUCAAAUUGUUGCCUCUUUCUUUGCUGUUGCUAUCUAUUUUUCUUCUUGUUUGUUUGUCCUUCUUGCAGGUACGGCGUACGGAGGGUGGACGUGGCGUGCGUAGAGAGGGAGAGCAGAGAGGCGCUACUGCUACGGCUUGAUGGCUUGCUGGAGCGGCGGCUGAUAUCUCAGAAACCCUAGGGUUUCUGUUUGUGAUUUUUCUUUUGGGCUUAGGUGAUUUGGGCUGGGGUUAGGUGUUGGGCUAAUUGGGUUGGGGAUAUUGGGCUAGGCUAAUAUUUGGGUAGUGGGCCACACAGGCUAUUGUAAAUGGACUGCUAUUGGACUGUUAUUAAUUUUUGGAUUUGGUUUAUAUAUUUGUGCUUUUGGGCCCGGGCAAAUUGGCCUAUUACAAUUGGUAUUGGGAUUAGUCUAUUUAUUCUUUCAAUGAUAGUUUUAUUACUUUAAAAAAACACCCUACAAUUAAACUUUGUAUGUAAUAUGAUAAUAAUAAUUAAAAUAUAAUGAAAGAAAUUAUGUCUUACAGUCUAGUGAAGGCUAACAAUGUGUCACAUUAUCAUUACAAUGUACACAUACUUUGUAGGAAAUUUAUCCAAUGAAACAGAGGAUUAAACUAGUUUCCCAGAUGCAGGGAAGAAUUGGUAUGCUACAAUACUAAGAAAAAUACUAAUAACAAAAAAAUGGUAAUGGAAUCACCCUUGUUAUUAGGCUUAUGAAUUUCAUUGAUGGAUUCUCUUAACAUAUGGGCAAAUCUGGCGGCGGCGGUGCUAACCUCCUUUUGUAUUUUUAUUGGAUCCAGGAGGUUGGAGAGAAGGAGUAUGUGCUCCUCAUAGAGCUGCGGUGCCAUGGCUGUGCGGAAUGGUGCUGAGGAAUGUACUGCUGCAGGCGGUUAUUUGCCAGUGUCCUUGUGCAGGUAGCUGGCCAUUUGUGGAGACCACAAAAAAUAAAAAUUAGCCGUGUUUUGCACGGAUAAAAAAAAAUCAUAUUUUAGAUUUAAAUAAUUAUAUAUUCUUUAAUCUCAUUGGGUUUCAAUUGGUUUGGUAAAUUUUGAAAUAAAAAAAUAAAAAAAAAACCUUUUGGAAUUGGAAUUGGUUUGGUAAACAUUGUUUUCAUGCAGAAAGAUUUAGACAUUUGCAUGCAAUGUCAAAGGCUAAGACUAAGUCUAUGAAUAUAUUGAAAUUAAUAUGAUUAAUAAGACCAAUAAAAUCUCAUAAUUCAGAACUAUGGGGCAUUCUGGAUGGUCUUGGACCAGGUUUGACCAACGUAAAGGCUCUUCAUUCCCUUGUUUCACUUUUUCUUCCUUUCUUCUUUCUCUUCUCAUCCUCUCUUUCUCAAUCUCAUCUCCCAAGCCAACGCUUUGAUGACCAGAUAUCUCCUCUCUUGCAAUUGCAACAUCAUCUUUACUAUAAAUAUAGUAGCUUAUCCAAAUGAUUCACGAAACAUUUAAACGAAUUUAUAGAAAUUAAUACUUAUUUAAAAUAUUUACAAGAAAUAAAAAUUAGCACAUGAAGAAUAAAGAAAGGGAAAAAAAAUCCAUAUUUUAGAUUUAAUAGACUAUAUGUCCUAUUAUUGCGUUUUAAUUGGUAUGAUAAACUAUUUUCGACCAAAGGUCCAUCAAUUGAGCUGAAUUUUAUAUAUGCUGGCCUUCUCAUUGGUAAAUUUUGAAAUAUAAAAAAUAAAAAAACCUUUGGGAAUUGGAAGUAAUUCCAAUUUUGCAUGCAAAACCUUUGGGUAAAUUUUGCAUGCGGAGCCUGUUAUAGACCAUGGAGCACUGAUUGUGGGCAGUACUGGUCGAAGCAUGCAAAACUAUUGACAUUAUCCUAAACUUAUGUAAAACCAAAACUUAGAACUGAAAUUCAAUACAAAAUUUCAGUUUUCAAAAAUCAGCAGCCUAUGGCCCAGUGUAGAGGUGAUCAUGGGCCGGGCCAAGUUUGGGUCGGGAGCAGACAAAAUUUUAGGCUCAUUUUCUAGGCCCGUGUCUAGCCCAGCCCAAAAUAUGUGCCUAAAAAAUUUGUCUAAGCCUGGCCAAAAAGAAAAUUGCUAAGCCCGAGCUUAGCCCGGCUCGGCCCAUAUUAAAUUUUACAGAAACCAAUACGGUUUUGACUCGAACACCAAUGUUGAGGAAACAUGGUCAUGAUGGUGUUGGCGAGUUUAUUGAGUUUUAUGGUUAGGUCUAUGGUCAUAAAUCUUGACAAUGGAAUGCUUUACAAUCAAUAAUAUUGGUUUUAAAGUGCAUAUAGGAGAAGGUGUGACUGAUUAGGUAGAUGGCAUGUUUUUGGUGCUGAUUAGGUAGGCAACCACUUCAACCAUUAUUCCAAGUGAAGUUAGAACAAAAACAUCUGUUCAUUCUACGUGUAAUCAUGGCUCUAAUGAGGUUUAAAGGACAUUAUUAUUGCUAUAAUUUUAUUUUUUAAUGAUUUAAAUUUAAGAAAAUUAAAAUUAGAAAAUCAUUUAUAUAGAAUAAAGAGCCGACAAGAAGAUUGAAACCUGGCAUUAAUAAGAAGAAUAAGAGCUCAACAAAGUGGAUCAACAUAGUUUUCAUGCAUUAAUGAUAUGUCAACGACUAAGACUAAAGCCAAUAAUAUCUCAUAUUAUCAUUUUUUUUUAUAAGUUCAAAGUAUUAAAAUUUUCUUGUAUUAACGAUAAUGUUUAUAUAUGUUCAAUAUUCAUUAAGGAACCAAUUUUAUAUCAUUUUUGGGUCUUUUAUCAAAUUUUACUUAAAAAAAAUCAAUAGUAAACUAUUUUAUUUAAAAAAUUACCAUUAUUUCUUUUUUCUUUUAUGACCUUACUUAAUCAAAUUGGUACAUCAUCAUCAUCAUUAUUAUUAUUGGCAUGCAGUUAUAAAGACUUAGAAUUUUGCAUGCAUAUCAAAGACUUAGAAAUUUCCACUACUUGAUAUUUUAAUGACUUGAAUUAAACAAAGUGGUUGAACAUUACUCUCAUGCAGUUAGGGGCGAGUGUUUGAUCGAAUCGAAUGAAAAAAUUUCUAGUUAACCGAGUUGACAAAUUAUAUUUUAUCAUCGUAAUUUGAUUUGAAAUUUUCUGGAAUUGAGUCGAAUCAGAUGGAAUUCAUUCGAGUUAAAUUUUAAAAAAUAAUUUUGGGUCCUUAUAACUACUGUCACUCACCGUAAUAAAAUUUAUCCACCAUAAUCAAUUUUUUUAUUAACUUACAUCACCUCAUAAUUUAUAUUUUAAUCUUUUUUAUAUGGGUUAGCUUCUUUGCUUGUUUAGUUGUUUCAAUUAUCUUCAGAUUCUUGUCACUAUGUAUUUUGGAAUUAAGAAAUAUAUUAAAUGUAAAAAUGUGAAUUUUUUAAAUAAAAUUUAUAAAAUUUUAACAUAAAGAUCUUAUGGCUUCAUUAAUAAUUCAAUUUUAUGACUAAACAAAAGUAGAAUUAGGAGUUUUUUUAUUUUUUUAUUUGAGAUUUAUGGACAUUUUCUAUGUGAAAAGUUGCUACUAAAAUGUUUAAGAAAUAGGUUUUCUAGUUUCCUUCUGUUUUUUUAUUUGUUUGAGUUUGAUAUUUAAUCACUAGAAUUAAAAAUCCAAUUCUCUACUAAUAAAUCAAACAAUUGUUUGACUCUAUAAAAAAUAUUAUGGUGUAAAAUUGUUUGAUUUAAAUUAAAAAAUUAAAUAUGUCAAAUUAAAAUCUUGUUAUAGUAUAAUUAAUAUUUGAAAUCAUAAAUAUUUGAAAACUGUUUUAAAGUGAAAUAAAAAAAAAUUAUUAUAGUUUUUGCAUAAUAUAAAUUUUAGAAUUUUUAUGAAUAUUUUAACUUUAAAAAUUAUUUUAAUUUUUUUUUGUAAUUUUUGUUGAGUGAGAUUAAUUUGUUAAUUUUUAAAAUUGACAGGAAUCAAAAGAGUAUAUAUAUCAAUUUGUGUUUGAAUUAUUUGAGUUAUUUAAAUUAUAAAAUUCAACUCGAAUCUCGAAUUAUAAAUAUUUUUAAUAAUAUAAAACAUAAAAAAUAUUAAAAUUAAAUAAUAAUUAAAUAAUAAUAUAUUUCUCAGCCUCUAAGAAAGUUUGAAAGCUGAAAUUUAAAUAUGUUUCUUUUCAAAAGUGAAAAAUUGUAUAUAUUCUAUCAUCAAAAUUUUCACUCAUUGUGUCCGUCAAUUUAUAAGGUGGCUUGACUUGUACACAUUGAUUGAACGUUGUUUUUGUGCAAUAAAAACUUGGACAUUUGCAUGCAAUGCCAAAGACUUAAGACUUAAAAGGUCUAUAAUAUUUCAUACUACCAUUUUUUCUGGUCGUAAAUUAAAGAUUUUAAAAAAUUCAAAUUAAAACCAUUAUGAUUUAAAUUUAUUAUAGUUUUUACAUAAUAUAAAUUUUAGAAAUUUUAUGAAUAUUUUGAUUUUAAAAAUUAUUUAAUUAUUUUUUUGAAAACUUUUAUUGGCAGAGAUCAAUUUGUUAAUUUUUAAAAUUGACAGGGACCAAAGGAGCAGGUACACCAAUUUAUUGUUAGAAGUAUUCCACCACUUUAGUUAAGUCUUUUUGGUCAACCUUUUCCGGCAUGGGAUAAUAAUAAUAAUACUAAUAAUAAAUAAUUUAUAUGCCAAACAUGAAAACUACACAUUUGUGUAUCAAUAUGUUGUAUGCCAAGCACAAUCCUUCGUCACACCCAACAAACAUGAACACUCUUCAUUUCCUUAUUUCACUCUUCCUCUUCUCAUGCUUCCUUUCUCUUGUCUUGUCUUUUUCACCUCCUCAAACUCAUCUCCCUAAGCAAUGCCUUGAUGACCAGAGAGCUCCUCUCCUGCAAUUGCAGCAUCAUCUUUACUAUGCCCCUAAUUCUACUUUCUCUUCCAAUUUUGACCUCUGGGAUGUCAACACUGAUUGUUGUUCUUGGGAAGGAAUCACUUGUGAUGCUUAUGGUCAUGUCGUUGGCAUUGAUCUUAGUUACAAAAACCUUUCAGGCAGCUUUCACUCCAUAUUCGAUCUCCAUCAUCUUCAACACCUGAAUCUUGCUGGAAACAACUUUAAUACCACUCUGUUUUCGUAUGGGUUUGAUGAACUCCAAAAUCUAACUCAUCUCAACCUUUCAAGCUCAUGUUUCCAUGGCCAAAUUCCAGUGGAGAUCUCAUUCUUAAAAAGGUUAGUCUCUCUUGAUCUAUCCAAUCAAGGUUCUUGUUAUUUGAGAAAUGGUUACGAUUAUGAUUCAGCUACUUUAAAAUUGGAGAAACCAAACUUCAAGACAUUUAUCAAGAAUUUGAAGUUUCUCACGGAGCUUUAUUUGGAUGGUGUCGACAUUUCAACUCAAAGUACUAAAUGGUGUGAAACCACAUCUCUUGUACUUCCAAACAUGCAUGUGUUGAGUCUGUCAAGCUGUAGUUUGAAAGGUCCAUUAUGUUCUUCACUCUCAAGACUCUCCUUUCUUUCCAAACUUAUCCUUGAUGAAAACCCAACCUCUUAUUUACCUCCCAAUUUCUUGGUAAAUUCCUCUUGUUUGGUUUCUCUCAGUUUGAGGUAUUGCAAUUUGAAUGGGCAUUUUCCAACCGGAAUUCUCUUAUUGCCAAAAAUUCAAAGCAUUGACAUUUCAUUGAACCGCCAACUUAUGGGUCAGUUGCCAGAAUUUCCAGCAAACAAUGCAUUACUGAGUCUGUCACUUUAUGACACAAAUUUCAGUGGAAAACUACCUGAAUCGAUUGGUAAUCUUAAGUUCCUGACAAAUUUAGAUCUUUCUGGUUGCAAUUUUUUUGGACCCAUUCCAUCGUCAAUUGCAAAUCUUAGUCACCUGGUGAACCUAGAUCUAGGAGGGAACAAGCUUUCUGGAUCAAUACAUUCUUCUUUAUUUACUCUUCCAUCGUUGAAGAUCCUGUUUCUUGGAGACAAUCAAUUGGUUGGGAAAAUUGAUGAGUUCCCCAAUGCAUCUUCUUCUUUGAUUGAAGUACUGUAUAUAGGCAAUAAUUAUUUAAGAGGAGCAAUCCCAAAGUCAAUUCUUCAACUUCCAAGGCUUGAAUGGCUUUAUAUCGAAAGCAAUAGCUUUAGUUCCAUGAAGCUUGACAUGUCUGUCCAAGUCAACAACUUAAGGACUCUCUGGCUAAACUAUAUCAGCUUGUUAAUUGAAAGCGACAACAGAAGUCUUACUUUUCCCCAAUUAGAAAGCCUAAGCUUAAGGUCAUGCAACCUUACUGAAUUUCCAGAAUUCAUUAAAAGGCAAGACAAGUUGGUUUACUUAGAUCUUUCUAACAACCAUAUCCAUGGUUUUGUGCCCAAUUGGUUGUGGAAGAGCAGUCUUUCAUCCUUACACCUUAGACCUUUAUUUCAAUAUGAUUGAUUUUCCAAAACAAAUUCCUUUAAGUGAUGCAAACUUCUCUUUCCCAAUGUUGAGGCAAUUGAUUCUGGGAUAUUGUAACGUAAGUGCAUUUCCGGAGUUCUUAAAGAGUCAAGAAAAUUUAGAAUAUCUCAUACUUCCAAAUAACAAAAUAAGUGGUGCAAUACCAAACUGGGUGUGGAAGAAAAGUUUGCAUCAAUUGUCUCUUGCUAAUAACCAUCUCUUAUCUUUGGGCGAACUUUUACCCAAUCAGAGUUCAACUUUUUCACGAGGCUUUUUCUAUUUCGACGUAUCUUAUAACAAUUUGAGUGGCCCAAUUCCAAAUUGGUUAUGCAAUAUGAGUCAACUUCUCAGUUUCGAUGUAUUUUAUAACAAUUUGAGUGGCCCAAUUCCAAAUUGCUUGGGCGAUAUGAGUGCUCUGAGUUGGUUAGGUUUGCAAGGAAAUAACUUCAGUGGAAUGUUACCAAAAUUUUCAAAAGCAACCCAACUGCAAUUUCUGAAAGUUAGUGAGAAUAGAUUGGAAGGUAAGUUGCCCAGAUCAUUAGCUGAAUGCACUCAGCUUGAAGUUUUGGACGUGGCAAAAAACAUGAUGAAUGAUACAUUCCCUUUUUGGUUGGGGAAAUUGCCUGCGCUAAAGGUUCUCAUUUUGCGGGAAAACAGAUUUUACGGUCAAAUUAAACAUUUCAAACAUAAAUCUGUUUUCCCAACUUUGGAUGUAUUGGACAUUGCUUCAAACCAGUUUUCUGGUGAACUAUCCAUUGAUUUCCUUCAACCCACUCGACUAAGGUCACUCAAAAUAGGUGGGAAUAAAUUGGAAGGGAAGCUGUCGAGAUCAUUAGCCAAUUGCACAGCACUUGAGGUUCUGGACCUUGGAAAUAAUAUGGUUCAUGAUACAUUCCCAUUUUGGUUAGAGAAGCUACCUUCCUUGAAGGUUCUCGUUUUGCGAGCAAACAGAUUCUACGGCACAAUUUCAAAAAUUGACACGAAACGUGGGUUUCCAAAGCUACGCAUAUUGGACAUUGCUUCCAACAAUUUUUCAGGUGACUUGUCUAUUGAAUUUUUGCAGAGUUUGAAGGCAAUGGCGGAGAUGACUAAUGACGAAAAGGCUACGCUGGAUUAUAUCGGAGAGAAUUAUUAUCAAGACUCUGUGACAAUUGUUAACAGAGGGAUUGAAAUGUUCUACCAAAAAGUCUUGACAAUUCUUACUUGUCUUGACCUUUCCAACAAUAGUUUCCAUGGGAGAAUACCAGAAGAGAUACAAAUGCUGAGGUCACUCAGACUGAUGAACUUAUCCAACAAUGGCUUUUCUGGUGAAAUCCCAUUAGCACUUGAAAAUCUAAAAGAUCUUGAAUCUUUGGAUCUCUCACAGAAUGAGCUGUCAGGGAAGAUUCCUGCACAACUUACAAGUUUAAUUUUCUUAGCAGCAUUGAACUUGUCUUACAACCAACUCGAAGGGAGCAUACCACAAAGCAACCAAUUCAAUACAUUUACAAAUGAUUCCUACCGUGGGAACCCAAAAUUGUGUGGGCUGCCAUUGUCAAGGAAAUGCAAUGAAGUUGGUCUUCCAAUGCCACCACCUCCAGGGGAAAAUGAAGAUUCAUGGUUAUAUGCUCUGUGUACUUGGAAAAUUGCGUUGAUAGGUUAUGCUAGUGGAUUAGUGGUUGGGCUAUGUAUUGGAUAUACAGUGCUGAAUGAGUUGGGAAACAAAUGGGUUAACAAGUUCAAAAAGUGUGGGAUAAGAAAUAGAAGAAGAUGUAGGUGACUCCAUCAGAAUUCUUGCUUCAAAAUUAGCUGGUAAGCGUUUGUCUUUCUAAUUUGAACAGAUAGUUGUUGAUUUAUAUAUAUGGGUUUUCAUAACCUCAUUUUUUGCUGUCUUUACUAAGUUCACUAUCAUAUCGUGCUUGUAAUUUGAUGUUACCAUUGAGCAAUGCAGGAGGUACUUGAAGCAGGACAUGGAAUGUACAGUUGUGAGGUUCAUGAAGAAUGUAGGCAAUGAUCCUAACAAGAUCAAUCCACUGGUUUGUAAUUUUGCUUUAUAUGCACUUUUUUCCUUUUGUAGUUUUCCACGAGUAUAAGUAAGUGUUUAUUCAUUUUGCAUCCAGGUCCCUGUGGAUUUGGGGGAUGCAAUGUUUCACUGCUACUGAAUUUCCAUGCUAAUAAUGAUAUUAUAAACAAGGAUAUGGCUGCCCAAGCUUUCUUUUAUAUGCAAUUUACUUUUACUUCAAUUAUUUUAUCUUCGGAAUAUUUGUACAGCUGAGGAGAUUUAAUGGCAUGAUGUUGAUGGAAGCCAUAUCUGGUGGACAUUGGAUGGAUUGUGUAAAGAGACGCAGAUGCUGCUACUCCCAUCCUUUGCUCUUCCAAACAGAUAUUAGCUUUAUAUUUUAUCAAUCACGUGUUGGGCUUUAGGACCGGGUGUAAAGGGUGGACCUGUUGGUCUGGGUUUUAGUUCAGCCGGACACUUAUUUUCAUACUAGUUUGUUUAUCCUUUCAAUGAUAGUUAUAUUAAUUUCAAAAAACUUUUGAAAUUGAAAUUAAUUUUUUCAAAGAAUCGAAAAAUUGUUAAUAAUAUAAGAUAUCUUGUCAGUCUCAUUUGUCUUUGAUAAUUUCAAUUAAAUCUAUAGAAAUUUUAAUGUGAAAAUUUAAAUAAGUUUCUUUCAAAGAAAUUGCUAAGAAGAGAAAAACUGUAAACAUUUUAUCAUCAAAAUUUCCGCUACUUGUGCCCAUCAAUCCAUCUUAACUACCUAAGAAACUUGCUAAACAUUGUUUUCAUGGGGUAAAAAAGAUUUAGAUAUUUGCAUGCAGUGCCAAAAGGCUGAGACUAAGUCCAAUAAUAUCUCAUUCCAUAAAUUUCUAUUGAUUCCAUACACUUUAAGUUCAUUGAAAAGUCAUCAAAGUUAUGAGAAAAUUUAGUUUUUGAGCCAUUAAUUUAUCUCAACCAGCUAAAAAAAUUCACCACAAUUCCAUUUUUUUUUAUUAGUUGACUAAAAUAAAAUUAGUGGUACAACAUUAUUUUGAUGCAGUAGUGAUCGGGCUUAGUCCAAAAUUAAAAAUAAUGUAUGGAAAGUACUAAUUUGUGUAUAAAUAAGUUGUAUGGAAACAAUCCUCCUUCACAGCCAGCAAACAUGAAAGCCAUAUCUGAUGGACAUUGUACUGAUUGUGUAAAGAGACAACUGCUGCUGCUUCUCCCACCUUUUGCUGACACAUUGGGUUUUUAUUUUAUCAAACACAUGUUGGGUUUUGGUACAGCCUCGCACUUAUUUUGUACCAAUCGAAGUUUCGCAAAAAUUGUGUGGUCAUCAUAAUUUCCACUCCAUAUAUUCCCAUCAAUCCAUCUAAACCAGCUAACACAAAUGCUUUAUUUUUGUGUUUAUAAUGACUUGACUUAAACAAAGUGGUAAACCAUUGUUUUCAUAUGGUAAGGAUCGGGCAAAGACUUAGACAUUUGCAUGCAAUGCCAAAUCUUGAAUUUAGAGUUGAGCCCAUAAUUUGGGGUGUUGGAUUUAAUUAAACCCGUUGGUAGAUCAUAACAUAUUUAUAAGUUGGAUACUACUUAAUAAUUAGGAUUUAGGAGUACUCAUUAUUGGGUAAAAAGACUUGAACAUUAGCUUGCAUGCCAAAGAAAAAAAACCUUAAUUUCUAAAACACAUUUCAUCUUAUCCUUCAGCAAAUUAUCUCCGUCUCAUUUAUUUUUGAUGAUUUUUUAUGAGUGUUUAAUCGAAUCAAGUAAAAUUUUUUUGAGUUAACUGAACUGAUGAGUCCUAUUUAUCAUCCUAACUUGAUUUGACAUUUUUUCGAAUUGAGUCGAGUGAAAUGAAAUUCGAGUCAAAUUGAAUCGAGUGAAAUUAUUCAAGUUCAAUUAAAAAAUUAAAUAUAUCAAAUUAAAAUCUUGUUAUAGGAUAAUUAAUUUAAUGUUAGGACACAUAAAUUUAAAACUAUAUACAUUUGAAAACUUUUUCAAAACAAAAUAAUAAUAAAAAUUCUUACAAUUGAAAAAAUAUAUAUAAUUUAAAAUUUUUAUAAAUAUUUUGAAUUUUAAAAAUUAUUUUGAAAUAUUAGCAGGUAAGCAUUAGUCUAAUUAAGCAUUAGUCUUUCUAAUUUGAAAAGAUAGUUGUUGAAAAAUAAAUUUCUCUAUCAUAUCCUACUUGUAGCAUUGACAUUCAUUUUCCAUAUUCUAUUGUAAUUUUAUGUUUCAUUUAGCAAUGCAGGACAUGGAAUAUCCAGUCAGGAGGUACGUUAUCUUUGAGGAAAAUGGUAAUUAGUUCCUUAUGACUACAAGCAUUUUUCAAUCACGUUUUAUGCUUUAGGUCCGGGUGUAAAGGGUGAACUCGUUGGUCCGGGUUUUAGUGCAGCUUGACACUUGUUUUUAUAUUAGUCUAUUUAUCCUUUCAAUGACAGUCUUAUUACAUUAAAAAUUAUCGUUCAAUUAAGCUUUGUAUGUAAUAAUAUGAUAAUAAUAAUUAAAAUAUAAUGAAAGAAUUUUUGUGUUACAAUCUAGUAUGUUUUUAUAUUAGUCUAUUUAUCCUUUCAAUGAUAGUCUUAUUACGUUAAAAAUUACUGUUCAAUUACACUUUGUAUGUAAUAAUAUGAUAAUAAUAAUUAAAAUAUAAUGAAAGAAUUUUUGUGUUACAAUCUAGUAUGUUUUCCAAUGUUAGCCAAAGUCCAACACUAUGUCACACUAUUAUUACAAUGUACACAUACUUUUUAGGGAAAUUUAUCCAAUGAAACAGAGCAUUAAACUAGUUUCCCAGAUGCAGGGAAGAAUUGGAAUGCCACAAUACUAUGAAAAUGAUUAAGAAAAAUACUAAUAACAAAAAAAAAAAAAUGGUAAUGGAAUCACAGUAAUUGAAAUGACGAAGAAGGGUGUUUACCUGGAUUAUCAGCGACGAAUCUAAUGGUUGCCCAUCCAUUCACAGGCACUCCAACAGUGUUCCUCACAGGUGGAUCAACAAGGCUGAAUUUAGAAAUAUCCUUUUUAGGAUCGAAGUUCUUUAAACGUUGUGCAAUGAUAUAGAAAUCGUAUACAUGAAGAUGAAUUGGAUGAUUCUCGGGUGUCACUAUGCUUUUGUCUUGGAGCACAAUUUUGUACCCUAAAAAUGUUGGUAUGGGUUAGAGGUGAGAGAGGUGACUGAGAUGAAGAUGAUGAUGUUGAUGCUGAUGCUGAUGUGGUUGGUGGUGGCAAUGAUGAAGGUGAGUGAAGAAUGUUCAGUGAUGGAGGAUGCCUCCAGAGUGCUGGGAGCCGAAAGUGUUAGAAGAAAAAUGGUGGAAAAAGAGCCCCCGGUUAGAAGCUUUGCUACAAUUAAAAUUGAGUUAAAUUGAAUUUACCACAAAAUGCUGAUUUGUAUCCCGAUAAAAUUUGGUGUCUACGUAAAAAAAAAAUUAAAAUAUAAUGAAAGAAAUGAUGCCUUGCAAUGUGGUGUGCUUUUUAGUGUUAGUAAACAAUCUAAAACACUAGAAAAUUGGAAGUGACUUUAGAUUUAAAAAAGAAAAAAAAUCCAUAUUUUAGAUUAAAAAAGAAAUUCCUUUACUUUUUUAUGAAUUGACUAAAAUGAAGUGGUAGAAACAUUAUUUUCAUGCAGUAGUGAUCGGGAUAAGAUUAAGAUUAAUAAUAUUUUAUUCUUAUACUAAGACUUAGAAAUUUGCUUGCAAUGCCAAAUAUUAAAACUAAGACUAAGGCCAACAAUAUAUUUUACUAUUAUUUAGUUAAAAGUUUUUGAAGUUUAGAGAUAAAUUUAGAAUGCAACAUAUAAUUUGGGGUGUUAAAUUUAAUUAAACCCUUUAAUAGAUCAUAGCAUAUUUAUAAGUUUGGUACUGCUUCAUAAAUUAGGACAUAAAAGUACUCAUUAAUAAAUUAAUUUCGUAUAUAAAUUAAUUCUUUUGGGUGUUAUACCAAAUUUAAUUUAAAAUUUUUAAUAGUAAUUUUUAUUAAAAAUUAAAUUAUGUAAGAAUAAUUAUAUAUAAUCUAUAUACCUAUAUAUAAAAAUUGGUUUCCACCUUCUUUCUUUUUAAUUUACAUUUUACAAAAAAAAUUAAAAUUAAAAUUUAGUUUCUUUAAUAUGCCUAAAUUUGAGAUUUAAUCUAUACUUUAUUCUUUAACAUAAUUUAGGCACUAUAUUUUUAUAAUGUAAUAGAUUAGUCCUUACACGUGGCACAUCCAACCAUUUUUGCUGUCCUUUCCUUUAUCCUUUUUUUUUUAAUUUUACAAUAAAAUGUUAAAUUUCAGUUUCAAUCCCUCUAAUAUGUCUAAAUUUGAGAUUUAAUCUAUAUACUUUAAUCUUUAACAUAAUUUGGGCCCUACAUCUUUAAAUGUUAUUAAUUAGUCCAAAUUAUUAAUAUGAUUAACUUUUCGGUGAAACAUUACGUGGUUAUUGAUAGUUUGCAUACAUAAGAGUCUUAGAGACUGACACAUUACUUUCCAUUUCUUUUAGGUUUGCAUCACUUUUUUGUAAGCUAUACUAAAACUUAAUAUUUAAUCUAUAUAUUUAAUUUUUGAUAUAAUUUAGUUCAUCUACUUUUAUAAUGUAAUUAGCUAGUCAAAAUAGUUAAUGUUGUUGGUUAUUUCUAUCAACAUGCUAAUGUCAAUUUUUCUUAAAAACAAUAUGCUUCUGAUAGGAUUUUUUUUAUCGCGGCGAUGUGAAUGAGUGUUGUUAAGGAAAAGUCUUUAUAAAAUAUUUUAAAAGUUAUUUUUAUUGUUACAUGACUACCAAUUGAUUUUUUUUUUAAAUUUCAAAAUAUCACCUCAGAGAAUUUAAUAGAAGAAUUUUAAUGAUAGUAUAAUUGAAUCAAAAAUUUUAAAUUUUAAAAGUAGAAAAUCAUAUUUCUAAAAAUAAAAAUAGAGAAGCUAAAUUCUAAAUGUACAAAAUAGAGAGAAUUAAAAUAUAUUUUAACCUUCAAAUAUUUUACUCUAUAAUUAUAUAUUUUUACUCUAUAAUUCUCACUUCCACUUUAUCUUUGUUAAUUUCCUACUUAUUUCUAUUUUUUAUUUUGCUUAUGAAUCUAAACAGAGAAAAAAAAAGGACAAAAAAAAGAAAGAAAUGAAUAGUAUGAAUUAAAAUUUGAGAUUUGAUCCCUAUUAAAAAUUAAAAAUUUAUUGUUUCUAUUUUUUUAAUUUAAAAAUCAUAGAUAAAUCCUUCUACACGUAAUUUAAAAUUUUUGUGCAUUCAAUCAUCAGAAUUUCCACUCCUUGUGUCCAUCGGUUCAUCUCAAAUCACCUAAGAAACUUGCUAUAAUUUGUCUUUAUAAUGACUUAAACAAAUCGGUUGAACAUUGAUUUCAUGCAGUAGUGGUCCACCAAGAAGACUUAGGGUAGUUUUGGAUAGGUGGUGUAUUUAUUUGCUGUUAGUCUAAAAACAACGGUGACGGUAAGAUUAGAUACUAUAAUGAUACUGUAACAUGAGAUAAAAAAUAAGCUAAACGCACCGCACCGCCCAUCCAAAUCCACCCUUAGACAUUAACAUGCAUGCCAAAACAAUUAAGACUAAGGCUAAUAAAAUCUCAUAUUAUCAUUUUCUUUGUUAGUCCAAAAUAAAAAAAUAUUAAAAAAAUUUAAGUUAGACAAUUAUUGAUAAUUUAAGGACUUAAUUGAAAUAUUUUAAAAUUUAGGUAUUAAUUUAUAAUUUAAUCCAUUAUUCAGGGGAAAAGAUCAGAACCUUGGAAUAUUAUUCAUAUAGAAUAAAGAUGCAGAAAAAAGAAUGGUCUUCAUUUCUUUCGUUCUUUAUCAUUUUAAUUAACUUUAAGGAAGCUUCAAAGUAAAAAUUUAAAUAUGUUUCUUCCCAAGAAAUUAUAUUAACAACUUAAUGUAAAUAAUGAUUUGAAUAUUGGAAUUAAAUAUUAAGUAAAAUAAUAAUGUUGUAUUGAAACUACAAAUUUAUGUAUAAAUGUGUUGCAUGAAAACCAUCCUCCUUCAUACCCAAUCAACAUGAAGACUCUUCAGUCCAUUGCUUCACUUUUUCUACCUUUCUUCUUUCUCUUCUCAUCCUUUCUUUCUCAAACUCAUCUCCUAAUGCAGUGCCUUAAUAAAUAAGUUGUAUGCCAAACACAAUCCUCCUUCACACCCAUCCAACAUGAACACUUUUCGUUUCCUUAUUUCACUAUUUCUCUUCUCAUGCUUCUUUCCUCCUCUCUUGUCUUUUUUACCUCUUCAAACUAAUCUCCCAAAUGCUGCAAUUGCAACAUCAUCUUUACUAUGCCCCUAAUUUUACUUUCUCUUCCAAAUUUGAGCUCUGUGAUGUCAACACUGAUUGUUGUUCUUGGGAAGGAGUCACUUGUGAUGCUUAUGGUCAUGUCGUUGGCAUUGAUCUUAGUUACAAAAACCUUUCCAGUAUCUUCCACUCAAUAUUCGAUCUCCAUCAUCUUCAACACCUGAAUCUUGUUGAAAAUAACUUUAAUACCACUUUGCAUUCUUAUGGGUUUGUGUUAAAGUUGGCCUGCAUGCAGCCAAGAAGCAGAGAAGCAACCCGAGCCAUGAAUGUUGCAGUUGAAGAUGGUGCUGCUGUUUUUGUUUAGUUUUGUUACUUUAAUUAACAUUUUGUAACUUAGUUAGAUUCAAACCAAGUUGUUAAUGUACUUGAUGUAAUUUGUCAAUGCUUUGAGCUGAUAAAUUAGCUUCACUAAGUGUGCAAGUUAUGUUUCAUUAGUUUCAAGGUUACUUAGUGGUAGUAGGUAAUGUUUAGGUAACAAUUUACUUAUUUUUAACUAGCUUAUGUCUGGUAUAUGUAUUGGCAUUAUGCCAUCUUUCAAUGUUAAUGAAAAUUCAUCAAAAUUCAUCAUAAAAUUCCCUUUUCUUGCUUUCUUUUGUCUUUCAAGCCUGGUUAUAUUUUGUUUGCUCAGCAAGUAUCGAGCCUUCAAGCUCAAGAAACUGCUAACUUCAUUCAUUUCACAUUCUUAGUUCCAACAAUUGGUAUCUAGAGCUCAUCUUCUAAGUGGACAUGUCAUUUUUCAUUCCUCAAAACUAUGUCUUCUUCAGGUUCUCUCCAGCUGCACCAACAGUCUUCAAUGGAGAAUGCUACCACAUUUGGGUAGUAAAGAUGAAAACCUACUUGCAGGCAUUCAACUUAUGGGAAGUGGUUAACUCGGAUGUUGAACCAGCACCUCUAAGAGUCAAUCCCACAGUGGCUCAGAUCAGGCAGCACAUAGAUGAAAGAACUAAGAGAUACAAGGCCAUGUCUUGCAUCCAAAACAGUGUGUCUGAUGUGAUUUUCACAAGUAUCAUGGUUUGUGAGUCACCAAAACUGGCCUGGGAUAGGCUGAAGGAGGAGUUUCAAGGGACUGAAAGAACGAGAUAGCAAAAAUUAGUGAAUUUGAUAAGGGACUUUGAAAUUUUGAAGAUGAAGGAAGAAGAAAUAGUGAGGCAAUAUUCAGAUAGAAUCAUGGUUGUUGUGAACAGCAUCAAAUUGCUUGGGGACCAGUUUAGUGAAGCAAGAAUUAUAUAGAAGGUUAUCUCAACCUUGCCUGAAAGAUAUGAGGCCAAGAUCUCAUCCCUUGAAGACUCGAGAGAUCUGAUUAGCAUCUCAUUGACUAAGCUGAUCAAUGCUCUUUAUGCUUAAGAGCAAAGAAGAGCCAUCAAACAAGAAGAGCAUAAAAAAUGUGCAUUCCAAGCUAAAAGUAGAUUUACCUCGAGCUCCUCUAGCUAUAAAGGGAAGAAGACCUAGCAAGAAUGCCUAAAAGAGAUGGAGUAAGAAGAAGAUAUCCACCUUGCCCACAUUACAAAAAGCUUAGUCAUCAGGGAGAAAACUGUUGGUUCAGGUUUGAUGUGCAGUGCAAAGUCUGCAAAAAGAUGGGUCAUGCUGAGAAAGUUUGCAGAAACAAAGGCAAGCUGAGACGAAACCAACCUCAAUAGCCAAGAGCUAAAUCUCAAAUGGCAGAAGAAGGUAAUGACUAAGAAGAGUAAGUCUUUGUUGUUUCAUGCUCAGCUGCCAAAAGAAAAGCCACAAAAGAAUGGCUGAUAGACAGUGGUUGCACAAACCACAUGACUCCUAAUGCUGCUAUUUUCAAGACCUUAGACAGAACCUUCAACACAAGGGUGAAAGUUGGUAAUGGACACUUCAUCAAAGUAGAAGGCAAAGGAGAUGUGCUGAUUAACACUCCUACAAGUAUCAAACUUGUUUCAAAUCUUUUGUUUGUGCUUGAAAUUGACAGAAAUCUACUUAGUAUAGCUCAGUUGCUAGAAAAGGACUAUUCAAUAGUGCUCAAAGGCAAAGAAUGCCUGAUCAGUGAUCCAUAUAGAUCGAAACUCAUGUCAGUGACCAUGGCUGACAGAAGUUUUGUUAUGGACUGGAACAAGGGUUCAGACAGUGCCUAUACAGCUGCUUUGGAUGAAUCCAAGCUGUGGCAUAAAAGGCUAGGCCAUGUCAACUACAAGUCACUGGCUCAGCUAACCAAAGAAGACUUGGUUGAAAACUUCUCCAAAUUAGUUGAGAAAGAAGAAGUGUAUGAAGUGUGUCAGCUAGGAAAGUGAGCUAGACUGCCAUUUCCUUUGAACAAGGCUAAGAGAGCCUCUGAAAAGUUGCAACUAGUCCACACUGAUGUGUGUGGCCAUAUGAAGACACAAUCUUUGAAUGACAGCAGGUAUUUUAUCCUUUUCAUUGAUGACUACUCAAGAUAUUAUUGGAUUUACUUCCUAAAGGACAAAUCAGAAGUAGCCUUAAUAUUCUGGAAGUUCAAGGCUGUAGUAGAAACAGAAACAGGUUACAAGCUAAAGACAUUAAGGUCAGAUAAUGGGACAGAGUAUACCUCAACUAUGUUUCAGGGCUUUUGUGAUGAAGCAAGCAUCAAGCACCAAUUCACCAACACCUACACACCUCAACAGGAUGGUGUUAGUGAAAGAAAGAAUAGAAGCUUGAUGGAUAGGGCAAGAUGUCUGUUGUUUGAGAGAAAUUUGCCCAAAACCUUGUGGGUUGAGGUAGUUAACACUGUUGUAUAUCUUCAAAAUAGGUUACCAACCAAGGCAUUGGUUCAUAAAACUCUAUUCGAGGCCUAGUUUAGGUUCAAACCAUCAGUUGCUUACCUGAGGGUCUUUGGAUGCAUAUGCUAUGCACAUGUCCCGGAAGUAAAAAGAGAUAAGUUGGCCAAGAAGGCUCAACCUGGCAUCCUGGUGGGCUAUAGCAGUGUCAAGAAAGGCUAUAGGGUCUUGGCCCCUUCAUCCAAUAAAGUUUUUGUGAGCAAAGAUGUAGUAUUUGAUGAGAAGUGAGGCCGGAACUGGGAUAAAAAUAAACCAGAGACUGCUACUGAAGACCUGGUGACAAAUCAAACUGAAGCUGAUCGAAAUGAUCCUAAAAUGGGCAUUGAUGAUGUGCCAGUUAGAGGAACCAGACCAUUGGCUAAAAUAUAUGAGAGGGCUGAUGUGGCUGCUAUUAAACCAAAUUGCUUUGAAGAGGCUGAAGCUCAACAAGGUUGGAAACAUGCAAUGCUUGAUGAAAUGAGCAUGAUUCACAAGAAUAAGACCUGGGAGCUCGUUGCAAGACCAGCCAACAAGAAGGUUAUAGGAGUGAAGUGGGUGUUUCGAGCCAAGCAUAAAGCUGAUGGAACUUUGAACAAGCUGAAAGCAAGAUUAGUAGUGAAGGGAUUCAGUCAAAGGUAUGGCAUUGAUUAACUUGAAACAUUUGCACCUGUGGCCAAGUUUGACACAAUUAGACUGCUGGUUGCCUUGGCUGCACUGAAUCAUUGGAAGAUUCAUCAACUCGAUGUAAAAUCUGCCUUCCUCAAUGGUUUUCUUGAUGAUGAGAUAUAUGUUGAACAAUCUGAAGGUUUCAUAAAAAAAUAUUAUAGUUUUUACAUAAUAUAAAUUUUAGAAUUUUUAUGAAUAUUUUGAUUUUAAAAAUUAUUUAAUUUUUUUUGUAAUUUUUGUUAAGAGAGAUUAAUUUGUUAAUUUUUAAAAUUGACAGGAAUCAAAGGAGUAUAUAUAUCAAUCUGUUGUUUGAAUUAUUUGAGUUAUUUAAAUUAUAAAAUUUAACUCAAAUCUCAAAUUAUUAAUAUUUUUAAUAAUAUAAAACAUUAAAAAUAUUAAAAUUAAAUAAAAAAAUUAAAUAAUAAUAUAGAAAUGAAAAUAUUUCUCAUGCUCUAAGAAAGUUUGAAAGCUGAAAUUUAAAUAUGUUUCUUUCAAAAGUGAAAAAUUCUAUAUAUUCUAUCAUCAAAAUUUCCACUCAUUGUGUCCAUCAAUUUAUAAGGUGACUUGACUUGUACACAUUGGUUGAACGUUGUUUUUGUGCAAUAAAAACUUGGACAUUUGCAUGCAAUGCCAAAGACUUAAGACUUAAAAGGUCUAUAAUAUUUCAUACUACCAUUUUUUCUGGUCCUAAAUUAAAGAUUUUAAAAAUUCCAAAUUAAAAUGUUACUCAUAAUUUGAGAACUUAAUUAAAGCAUUGUAAAGUUUAUGUGUCAAUUUAAAAUUCGAUGUAUAAUUUUGCGAUGUAAGGUGAAUUAACCCGUUUGAUAAAUCAUUACAUAUUUACAAGUUGGAUACUCAUUAACAAAUUGAUUUUAUAUUAUAAGUUAAAAUUUAUAUUUUUGGUGCUAUAACAAAAUUUACUUAAAAAAUUAAAUUGUAAUUUUUUUAUUUUAAAAAAAUUAAAUGAUGUAGAAAUAAUUAUAUAUAACAUAAAAAUGAUAAAAUUUACCUAAGUUUAAAAUAAUUUAAAGUUAAAAUAUUUGUAUCAUGGAUUUUUUUUUCUAAAAAGUCGAUACCUAAAAUAUAUAAUUUAAACUCAAAAUAUCGGUUGAAUUAUCAUCUUUGCGUAGUAAUGGUUCCAAUAGGGUUUAAAGUGCUAUAAUUUAAUCUUUUUUAAUGACUUAGAUUUAGACGAUUAUUUAUAUAGAGUAAGGAGUGGGCAAGAAAAUGACAACCUUGGCAUUAAUAAAUUAAUGAGAUCGAUAAAAUAUUAAAAUCUCGUUCUUGAAAAUUAAAAUUAACAAAAAAGAAAGACGUAAGGCAAAUUAAGUGUGGAUUUAACAACUUAUUUCUAAUACUAACAAUAAGUAAUUUAUGCAUCAUAAGUAAUUUAUGCAUCAUGACUAACAGCUUUAAAUAAUACUUGAUGGAGUCUUGAUUUGGCAAAAUGACUUAGAAAUUGCAUGCAAUGCCAAUCACUCAUAAACUGUAACGACCCAAAAUCCGUGGGCAGUGGAAAAGUAUACUAUCGGGCCUCUAUCUUAGUAAACCGAGUUAGUAAAUAAUUAUUAGGAGUAAGUAUGAGUUUAGUUGAGUGCUUAAUUAGGUAUUAAUUAGGUGAAUUUAGUCUAAUUAAGAAUAAUUAGAAAAAAGGAUCAAAUCGAAUAAAGAGUGAAAGUCUAAUUAUAGAUUAAAAGAAAGUAAAAAGGACUAAAAUGAAAUUAAGCCAUUUACAUGAAAAGAGGCGACAUAUAUGCAUUAAAUCCAAGAUUUUAUUUAUAAAUAUUAUAUGUAUAUAAUUGUUAUAAUAAUUAUUAUUUAUUCAAAUUGUAAUUUAUAUUAAUUAUAUUAUUAUAUUAUAGAAUAAAUUAAAAUUAAGACAAGUGUUUGGUGAUAAGAUGGUACAAGUGUAAUAAUAUAUAUAUAUACACUUGUAUUAUAAUUAUUAUUUACUUAAAAUUUAAGUAAAAGAUAUUAAUUAAUUAAAUAAUUAUAUUAUUAGAUUUUUAUUUGAUAAACAAAUUAAAUAGUGACAAUUGUAUGAUAUUGAUGGUGUACAAAUGUGAAUAAAUGAUUGAAUAUUUAAUAGAUAUUUAGAAUAAAAUAUAUAUAUAUUAUUAUAAUAUAAAGUAAAUAAAAGAAAAUAAAAUAAAAGAAAGCAAAUGAAAUAAAAAGAAACAAAAGAAGAACAUAAUAGAAACAGAGAAAGAGACGAAAACAGGGGAAGAAAAGGGAAAGAAAAGAAAAGGGGAAAAUUGGGAUUUUAAAGCUUCAAGUUUAAUUGGUUAGCUAAAUUUAGCAUUUUUCUCUUAAUUUUGAUGUUUUAGAAGCUUUAAAACAAAGUUUUGUUGAAAUUAAGUUGAGGUUUUGGAAGUUUAUAAGUUUAGAGAGCAUGGUUCAUGUUGGACAAUUUGUUAAAUUAGGGAUUUAAUUGAAUGAAUUUCAAGUUAGAAUUGAUAAAAGGAUUAAAUUGUGAAGUAAGUUAUAAUUUUAUAUUGUAGGGACUAAAUUGAGGAAAAUUCAAAAUUAGAAAAAUAUGCUGAAAUUUUAAUAAUUAAAUUUGAGUUUGGAUGAAAUUUGAAUAGAAAAAGAGUGUGAAUUGAAUUAGAAAAGUAAGUAAACUUAGUUAAGAUUAAAUUUAGAAUAAGGUAAGAAUUGAUUAAAAAAUUAAUUAAUUAUUUUAAUUUAAUGUUGUAAUUAAUAGCGAAAAUUAUUAUUAUUUUCGUAGCUAACAAAGAACCCGAGACAUCGGCAUCAAAAGGAAAGGAGAAAGCUAUCGAGGAUUAAAUCGGGAGAUUUACGAUUUGUAUUACUAUAAUUCAAAUUAUUUAUUACUUAUUAUUAAAUUAAAAUUAUUUGUAUGGUAAGUGAAUAAUAAGGUAAGUGACUUAUUUAUAUUGAAUUUGGAAAAUUAAAUUGAAAUGAGAAAAGUAUGUUUCGGUAAUAAAUUGUGUUUUGAAUAGUGAAUGGAAAAGUAUAAUUGAGACCGAUACUGAACUGAAUUAUGAAAUACUGAAUAUUGUUUGAAUACUGAAUUGAACUGUGAAAUUACGGAAGUAAUGAAUUAUUGCAAUACUGUGAAACUGAUUGAAAUAAGGAAUUUUAAUUAAUACUAAACUAAAAUGGAAAUUAUACUGAAAAGUGAAUUAAAUACCCUAUUAACUAGUCGGGCUAGUCGGAUAUAGUUGGCAUGCCAUAGGAUAUGGAAGAGUACGGGGUAUUUGCUGGCUUACUGAUCAGGCACUUAUUGUAAUAACCCGAUUCUAGGCCUAGUCGGAGCAGUGGUUUCGAGACCACAAAUCCGACGAGGGAAAAAUUAUUAUAUUUUUAUGGUCUACAAUUUCAAGAAAAAUUGUUGUAAAAAUUUCGUUCGAAAAUUUUGACGUUUGGGCACUCAAUUUAAUCAAAAGGACUAAAUUGUAAAAAGUGCAAAAGUUGAGUUCUACAUCUUAGAGGUGUCUAAUUGUUAUGAAAUUUUAAAUUGAAGGUCUUUAUGUGGUAACUAGACCAUUAGUUAGUUGAUGGACAAAAAUGAGCAUAGAAUUAGUGAAAAAGAUUUUUUUAAGUAAGGGCAUUUUAGUCAUUUGGUAAUUAAAUAGAAUUAAAUGGGUGAAAGAUGACAAAAUAUGCUCAUCUUCUUCAUGGUGAAUGAAAUCAGUAAGGGGGAAAGCCAUAUUUAGGGUUUUUAAGCUUCCAAGCUCCAUAAUCAAGAAAGAUGUGAAGACCACCUUAAACGGGAAAAAGAAAAGGUCGAGGAGUAAAUCACAAAAUCAAAAUAUUUUGUUCCGAGGUAAGUAUGCAUGUGAUUUAAUGUAUUAUUUUAAUGUUAUUUUAUAUAUAUUGCUGGGAUUUGAUUGAAAAUGGAACGAAUACUCGAUAUAGACUCUAAAAUGUGGUUAAAUUGGAAGGUAGUAAAGCGUUGAAAAUCAAAGUUUCCGGUUGAACACUCGGAAUAAGCCGGGAUACAUUGAACAUAAAAGGGGGUUUCUAAGUGUUGAUUCCCCAAAUCAUCGGUGGUUGCUAAGUGCUGAUUCCACCGUGUCUUCGAAUAUGAAAGGGGUUGCUAAGUGCUGAUUCCCCAAAUCAUCGUGCUGAUUCUCCAAAUCAUUGGUGGUUGCUAAGUGUUGAUUCCACCGUAACGGAUUGUAUAAGGGGUUGCUAAGUGCUGAUUUCCCGAAUCAUUGGUGGUUGCUAAGUGCUGAUUCCACCAUAUUUUUGAAUGUGCAAAAGGAGGUUGCUAAGUGCUGAUUCCCCCAAGGGGUUGCUAAGUGCUAAUUCCCCGACUCACUUGUGGUUGCUACGUGCUGAAUCCACCAAAUAACGGUUAAUAUUCUGAGUGUUCAACAGGAAAAUUGGAAGGGUGAUUGAACAUGUAAAUUAAAUAUGAUUGUGUGGGGAAUAUUGGGUUUGAUAUUUAAUCAACCCAUGUGUAAGAUGAAUGGAAGUAUCAAAACUACAAAAGAGCAAGUUGGUCACAAACAGCUUAAAACAACAACAGUUGGGUAACUUGGAAAAUUCACCAUAAAUGGUGGAAUUUGAAUUAGAGGUUGGGUAAUAUAUGAAAUUGAAGCUGAAUGAGUCUAUUUUCAUAUGAAAGAAUCAUAGCAAGCAAAAGAGUUAUAUAUUUUGAAAUAUUUAAAUUUUAGUGAGACAGGGCUGAAUUGCUUUUGAGAUCCCCUGUUCCAACUUUGGAAAAUCACCAAAAAUUGUAAAAAAAUAAUUGUGGGUUGAAAUUUAUAUACUUAAAUUUCUUCAUUAAGUCUAUUUUCUGUAGAAAUAAACAAGAACCUUAUAUGAAUUUUGCACAGAGAGUAUAGAUUUUAGUAAAGGGUGGUCAGAGCUGUCGAGCAGUGAAAAGGGGAAGGUUUGAAGAAUAAAAUGUACUAAUUUCCAAAACCAAAAAUUCUGAAAAUUUUAUGGUAGAAAGGUAUAUGAGUAUAGUUUCAGAUAAAAUUUACAGAACUCAAUUUGGAGCUCUGUAGCUCCAGAUAAAAAUAAAUUAGUGACUGUGAUGCAGAAAAACAGGUUGCUGGAAAUUGAGCAAACAAUGAAAUUUAUGAAUGAUUAAAAUUAUAUCACUUUGUAAUAUUAUGAGAAAUUUAUUAAUUUUUCAUGUGGUUACUUACUAAGCUAUAUGCUUACUCUUCUUUAUUUUUCUCUUGAUUAUAGUGAUAACAAUCUGCCUGAAGUUGGACGAAGUCAGAAAUCAUCCACACUAUCGUCAUCUCUCGGGGUAUUUUGUAAUCAAUACUUUUGAAACAUGGCAUGUAUAGAUGACUUAAUUUAAUAUGAUAUAAAUAUGUUUGUAAAAUAUUGUUCGGUUAAAAAUGUUGGUGUUUAUUAUUGAAUAAAUUGUGUAUGCAUAUAUAAUACUGUAAUUGGUUGAAAUAUUAAGAUCGUUUGAAAUUGUUCUUUGAAAAUUUGCAGGAGGUUUUAUGUAAAAAUAAGCAGAAAUGCUGCCGAAAUUUUACAAAAAAAAAUAGUAAUACCUCGUGCUCUAUUCCAUCAAGGAAUACGGGUAAGGGGUGUUUCACUUAUGUGCCGACUACUGUUACUGUUACCGAUUCGGCACUUUGUGUGUCGAAUACUGUUACCAUUACUGUUACCGAUUCGGCACUUUGUGUGUCGAAUAUUGCUACUGUUACUGGUUACUGUUUAUUAGUGUGUUUGGUUGGAAUCCGUGUAUCCGCCGAGUCCGAGUUAAGUUAAUAGGGAUAAAUGAAAUAAAUUUACUGAUAAAACCAAUCUCGAAUGAUAUAGUAUAUGUGAAAAAUGAAAAUUGAAAUAAAGAAAUAAGAAUGAUAUUUAUAUAUAAGAUUAAUUGAUAAUAUAAAAAGAUCGAAUUGUUUAUUAGUAGUGAUGAUUGUAAUGAAAAAGUAUGUGUGUGAUUUAAUGUAUUUAAUUGUAAAUUGAAUUAUAGUGAUACCACUGAGUAUGAAAUACUCAGCGUACAGUUGUUUCUGUGCGCAGGUCGAUAGAAGUCAAAGGUUCCGUUUCAGCAUCCGAAGCCAGACCCGACUUCAGCAAAUUUUGGUGAUGAAUAUUUUCUUUGGUAAUGUGGCAUGUACAUAGGAUGGGUAUAAAAGUUAUUAUGUUUUGAAUAUAAAUGGUUAAAAAUGUUAGAAUUAUAAGUCUAAGAAUUAUAAUGAAAGAAGUUUAUCCAUUUCAAUUUAAUUAGUACGUUGAUAAAUUUAAAUUGAUAUUAUAUUGAUUGAGUUUGGUUAGAAGGUAUUUAGAAUAGAAUGAGAAUGUGAAAUGAAUUGGUUGAAUUGGUUAUGUUUGGAAAUGAUACAGUUUUAAUUGCAGGAGGUUUUAUGUAAAAAUAAGCAGAAGUGCUGUCGAAAUUUAUAAUAAUAAAAAAAAGAAAAAAAAAGAGAAAAAUUCGGAGUACUUAAACGAGUCCCAUUCAUUAUUAAUACAUGUUUUAGCCUUCGAAAGUUCAUUACAAGGACUUAGUUAUUCAAUUAUAUUACAAAUGUUAUUUUAUUUAUAAAUUAUUCGUAAGUUGUCUGAUAUGUUCGGUAAUGCCUCGUAAUCCUGUUCCGGUGACGGUUCGGGGUUAGAGGGUGUUACAUAAACAUUUUUCUAUGGAAAAUACACACUUGUGUAUAAAUAAGUCGUAUGCCAAACACAAUCCUCCUUCACACCCACCCAACAUGAACACUCUUCAUUCCCUUAUUUCACUCUUUCUCUUCUCAUGCUUCCUUCCUCUUCUCUUGUCUUUUUCACCUCCUCAAACUCAUCUCCCAAUGCAAUGCCUUGAUGACCAGAGAUCUCCUCUGCUGCAAUUGCAACAUCAUCUUUACUAUGCCCCUCAUUUUACUUUCUCUUCCAAAUUUGAGCUUUGGCACCCCAACACUGAUUGUUGCUCUUGGGAAGGAGUCACUUGUGAUGCUUAUGGUCAUGUCGUUGGCAUUGAUCUUAGUUACAAAAACCUUUCAGGCAGCUUUCACCCCAUAUUCAAUCUCCAUCGUCUUCAACGCCUUAAUCUUGUUGGAAACAACUUUAAUACCAC
rnacentral:lncRNA from 1 species